CUGGGGUCGCACCUCCGGAACUCAUCGAGGCGAUCCAUGAGCCGUUGCCGCUCCGCUCUUUCAACCAUCAAGGAAAAAGUCGCCGCUGCCACAGGCACCUGAGCUGGUGGUGCUGCCAAUACCUCCCCCCGAGGAGCUACCGUAAGUGUCGUCUGCGAAGUGUCGAGUACAGGGGACGACCCCCCGGGCGCAACUGUCUCCACUGGCGCGGGUAGUACCGAGACCUGAGCCUCCCUAACAGCUGCCUGCUGUAAUAGAAGAUCCUCCAGGCGCUGCAUCCGUGCCUCCUGCCGUCGUGCCGUGUCCGCCUGCUGCUGGGCCGCCGCCGCCUGCUGCGUCACCAAAUCAGUGAGGGCGGCAAGUUGGCUCCUCAACUCACGGACCUCACUGGAUCGGGAGGUAGCGGAUGUCUCCGCUUCCUCAAAAGUCGCUGGGUUCUUUGAGGAUUAAAACUCUCCUUUUGCUCUCCUUUUUGCAUUUUGUGCUUUGUCCUCCGGGAGAAGUUUGGGCUGGCUGUUUGAGCUUGUAGAGGGUAGGAGCUCAACCCUAGCUGAUUUUUUCUAGGGUAAUUGUUGAUGGAGCUUCCUUGUGAGGUUAGUUUGUUCUCUCUUCAGUUUUCAAUGAUUUUUUGUACAACCCCCUAGAAAUGGUACUUUAGGGUUUUGUUUCCGGGAUUUCUGAUUACGAGGCUUUUGAAGGCCCAAUUGAUGGAUUAGAAACUUUCUAUCUAGCUGGAUUGGCAGGGAUCUACGCAUUCACUUAUUGGAGCUGUGAGGGAUUUUCACGCCACCCACAAGGUGACGUUUUGGCCCUGUUCUUUAGUUUGGCUACAUGUUUAACUAUUCGUCGUGUUCGUAAUCCUUGCUGUAUGCCCUUCGCUCAUUUACUUUGUAGGUAUUUUAUGAGACUCGUGGACAACUCCUUCGCGAAAACGAGGGAUCUGACACGACCGGUUCGGUGGGUUUUUGGCCUAGCCACACAAUGAGCAAAAUCUCAUUGCUUUGACGGUUUAAGUGUUGUAAAUUGAAAAGGCAUCGCAUAUUCUGUGUUCAGAUGCAGUGUAUCUUGUGCAAGUUUAGAAUGCUAAAAUGCACAUGUCAUAUACAAUGCAAUUUUCGACCGUCUAUACUAGUAGGAGUUUUCAUGUUGGGGCCUAGGGGGCGCUACAGUUAGCAUGUCUUAUAAAUUGACUUGAGACAUGUGCAUCAUGGUACAUAUGCAUAUUAGAUUACACCUCUUGGCACUUAGAACGCAUAUAUUGACUGUGGAUGGGACAGAUCGACAUUAAGUGACAUAGGCUAGACGGUACCUCAACAAAUAGUACAGCUAAUGUCAUAAAGCCCGGCAUCAGACUUUGGACAGAAUAUUGGUUUAGCAGUCUAAAUUCAUAAAGCGCAUUAGACUUGAGGAUAUGCAAAUCUGCAUGGUGCUGUUCAUUGAUUAUAAGAAUUACAUGCCAAGUUACAUAAGUCGAAUUGGGAAAGAACUUACAUGCUAGCCCAUAUGCAGAACACGCUAGAGAAGGGCAUGUGUAUUAAUCUAUUAUUGAUAAAACAAGCCUAGGCGUCAUAAAGAGACAUAGAACAGUGAAUUGGCUUAAGAUGUAUCAGCAAUUGUUUAAGUGUCAGUAAAGAGGCACGUAACAACAUAGUGAACGUGUGGAACUUCACUUGACGCUUUGGACUUAGUAAAAGCUAAGGCUCAUUGGACAUAGAAUUUUUAUUGUACGCGUUAAACCUGUCACUAUCGAGACAUAUGACUCAGAUCUUUCGAGAUGCAAGUGAACUUUACCAUGUUUAGAGACAUGAUACCUGUUGGGUGGCUAUUACCUAUGUGGAGACAGUGACAUGACUCAUUGAGGUAUUGCACCGCAUGUUGUUCUUGAUUUGUGCUCAUCUCGCACAAUCGCUUGUGAGGGUCCGCUCCCCUACAAGUCGUCACUGUCGGCCCGGAGUUAGCCUACGCGACUUAUGUAUCGUCGUGCGGUAUCGAGUACCUACGGGGCCUGGAGGAUUACGACUCAUUCCUAGAGUAGGAAUGCUUGAGUUACUCACUGGCAGCUGCUAGGCGCACAAGCCGAACUACACCUGUGUAGACUCCUAAUUGGAGUGAACCCAGAAUAUUAAGCAACAAGUGACAUUCGCGUACUAGCUAGGAUUAUAGUAGUUGGACUCUUGAUAUGCUAUGGCAAUAGUUGGUUUGGACCACUUUGGGCUUAGAGUAUACUUGACAGUACGCUUAUUACCAUUAUAGAUUCUUGAUUGCUAUGAUAGUACAACUACUAGAUAUGUAGUGGACUUUGGUCAUAACUAGAUACUUCAUACGCAUUACUUGUUCCACUCCAGCGCAUAGUUGCUUUUAUAGUUUUGACAUAUGUGGAUCAUGUAGAGUGAUGUUACUCGCAUGUUGAUAUUUCCAUGGCCGUAGAAUAUUCUGGUGCCAGUAGUAGUAAGCAUUCUCAAUAUAUGCCUUAUUUUCCGCAAUCGUUUUGUGUUAUCUAUAACUGCUUGUUUGGGCCUAGUGUGCAGUUUGAGCUGUAGGAUCAGUAUUGCCCACCCAUCGGAGAACUAUAAUUUAAGUUCUCCACGCCCCGCUGUUGUUUUAACUGUUUUCUUUAAGAGUCCUUCCACUCCCCGGGAGGCUCGGGAUCGCGGGAAAGGUUUGCGCCCUCCGAUUAGCUAUCGAAGGGAGCUAUGGUUGAUAGGUGGCCCAACCCUCUCCCCUUUCUGUUCUCUUUUGGAGAGGUUGUGAGAGUUUUGUAGCGUUAUAGAGACCGACCCCUAUUUUUGUAAUCUUGAGAUUUAUGGAUGUAAUCAGUUUACUUUAGUGCUCUAGUAAGUACUGAUUUUCUUUUGAUUCUACUGAUGUUAGAACCUAGCUUAAUACUUGCUCUGAUAUCUCUCAAGUACGCAGAGUUCUGCAAUGCUUACUCUUCUCGCUUUUCGUGUAGACGCCUUAUAGUGUGUAGAACAUAUGGCGGUGCUGGGCGCGCACCUAGCGACGGGCCCAUACCCGGUGUCCAGGGCGUGACACGGUGGCGCGUUCCUAUGGCACUAUACCGCUUGCCGUCGGUCCCUAGCCCGCUGCCGCCCGCCCGUCCUGAACGCAGACCUGGUAGGUUAGUGGUGUACAGAAACUAAACAAAGUUCGCCCAGUUGGACUCGGCAUCCGACCCCGGCGCGACGUUAACCCACUAGUCUAUCAGGCAAUAGAGUAUUUCAAGGAAAGAAAAGUAACCAGUAACUAAAGCAUCUAAAUACUAUGCCUGCAGACAGAAUGUCAGUGGAAUACAAAUACUCAAACUGGCGAUAAGGAAAAUGUGCAUGCAUGCUCAAUUCAUAAAUAAGGCUUUGGCUCUACCCAACUCUUACCGGUUUAAACCUUGUUAACCCAAAACAACCUCAUACCCCCAAAAUCCUUCUUUAACCGGGGAGGCUCCAAGCACUACAGACCCCGAGGGAACCGUCUCAGGGACCUUGCUCCGCUGCGUGGUGUCGAUCUUUCGGAGACACACCUGCUUGACGGAGGAGCGACCUCCCCCUCAACCACAGACUUAUUAUGAGUGUCAAUCAAAUCCCCGCGUUGAGGAUUGUAAGCGCACUUUGUCACGAUGCCACUUUUGUGAUAGGCUUUUCUACCGCAUAUGUUCUCAAGUCAGCUUCUAGUCAAUCUCGUCACCAAUGCCACUAUAGUUAAGUCUAUGUUCAGCAUCCGUGUUAUUCAGCCAAUCUAUCUCUCUAUGUCAUUUGCUCACACAUUUUGUUUAUUGUGUGCUAAGUAUCCAAGUCUCACUAUCAUGGCAAUCAUCUGGGGUUCAUACACACAUGUCCAUCCCGUGUCCUAUUUCUCUCUCUUUUCAAAUACACUUGGAAUAACACUAAUGAAAAACAUAUCCCCAAGUUCACCCAUGUGAAUAAACCGCACUAAUAUCUGCAUGAAAAGAAUUAAACCAACCAUAUGCUCAAGAAUAUAGGCAAAAUAGACAAUAGAAGGAAUCCAAACGAUCCGGCGUGCACGCCCCCACCUCUAAUAUUCGUGUGGUGUAGAAUAUAAGGCCCCAGCCACUUUAGCGAAAGCCGAUUCUUGCGCCCUAAUAAUCAAUAACGGUGCCAUAACUUCACGGCCUUUUUGUACAUGAAGCAUACUGCUACUAGACAUUUUCGCAACACGUUCAACGAGUUGUCGCAACGGUUUAGCGGCAACCCUAAAAUGUAGUUUCUACGAGGUCAAUUCGCUCCCGCGAACAAUCCUAAGGGCAAAAGCCAAUUUUCUAAGCCUACCAGCCAUCUAGGGUUCCCCAAUCGAAAUCGGAUCCCAACCUAACAACAAUAGCUAGGAAUCAUCUAAGAAGCAUCCUCAAGUGAGGUUUCCUAGACCUUUGAUACAACCUAGGGCUUCUAUGGUGAACCCUAAACCAACCACCUUGUGCCUCAUGGGUUCCAUGGAGUUUAAGGCCUAUAGGAAGGCUCCCAAAGGCUAAAAACAACCCAAAACUCAAAAUCUUAGGAUCCAAACCAAGCCCCUAGAUCUCAGUUACACCAAAAACUCAGCCUACCACAACUCCUCCAAGCCUCUCUUGUAGGAAGAGCUUGUAGAAGCCACAAAGCCUCAAAUCCACCUUCCCCGCUUUGCUCUCUUCUCUGUCUUGCUUCUCCAAGCCACUAGAGCAAGGUUCUAGAGAGAGAAGAGAGAAAUGAGAGAGAAGGGUGAAAAUGGGUGUGGGGGAGAGGGGGAAUAGCCUAUAUGAAGUGUUGUAAUAAUUGCAAGCUUAAGCGCCUCCUCACAUUGUUUUCCCAUUGAUCCUGCCUAGACUGGGCAUUUGUUCGCCUUCAGGAUCGGUAUCCUCCCCGACCCGAGGACCGGCUCCCGGACGUGGGUAUUUCCAGACUGAUAGCCGAAAUUUCGGGGUUUCAGUGCUGGCGCAAAUGAGGGACGGAUCUGCCUUCCAGGGGCAAUCUCCCCGAGGACGGUCUCAGCACCAGGGACCCGGGAUGCCUCAGGAUUUCUGGGCGAGGCUCGCGCGUACGGGGACCGAAUCUUUCCUUCGAACCCGGUCCCCGAGAGCUCAAAGUCCUGGACUGCUAACCAGAUUUUUCAGAUUGCUCUCCUCCGGUCCUCUUUUGCUCUUACUUAUGAACUCUAAUGUGCUACAAGGUCCAUUCUAGCACUCAUGUCAAUUCCGCGUGCCCGCUCGUUUUGACAGCGAACUCGCCGCCGAUUUACGAUGGGUAAACGUGGUAUGCUUACAGCUCUCUACCACUAAAUAAAUUUAGUUGUCGUCGCGGCGAAACUACUAAAAUUGAAUUUUAAAUUUCUUACUCACUCUCCGGAUCCUCGAAGAGGUGAGGCGAUAACGCUCCCCGCAUCAUUUCGGCUUUCGAGCCCCAGACUGUUUCCCCCCUCAGUCUCGUAGCUCGUACCAAUGAAUCUGUUUCACAUACGGGAUCGUCAUGGCUCCGAAAAAGCUUUUUCGCACCUGCCCGGUCGAGUAACAUACAGCCGGACACUCCUCAUAGUCCAUAUCCUCCUGAUGCUUCUGAUCGUAUACUAGAAGAGAAUGAUGUUCUGGUGUCGUACACAUUACUUGCGGAGUUGGAACCAGUGGAAACAUCAUCGUCCCCCGCGAGUAUCCCGGUGGUAAUGCAACUUGUAGGCACCGGCACAAAGUCGUUCCAAGAAUCUCAAUAGAGUCCCAAUAUACGUGGGACCAGCUUCCCGCGAACAUCGCGAACGCCGGUCUAACUCCUACGCAUCGGCGAUCACUUUCUAAGAUACGCCGUCUCCUACACGCGCGAAACUCAAUAUCCUUUCGUCGCUUCGUCGGCAUCACACUCUUGUGCUCUCGAUUGCGCCGUCAAUUGAGCAAUCUCUGUCCGGCAAGGGCGGACUUUCUCUCUCCCUCCGCACUACAACCGGGCCAAGAACUACUCUCUCAACACAUCCGCUCGCUCCAGUCGUAUCGGCGGAGCGAAAUUUCCUUCCAUCACAAGGCCUGCGAAUGGCACCAUCCGGCAAUGCCUUUCUUGAUGCUAUUGUUGUAUGCGAAUUCCGCCAUCAGUAAGUGAUCCGUGCCAUCCCGCCCCUGUGUAAUCAAGCACACCACCUCGAUAGCAUUCCUCAGUAUUUGAACUUGUCCUUUUCGGCAUUGACCCAGUCACUUUGAGAGGAUGAAAUGCGGUACUAAAAUCGAAGAGAACGCGGCCUAACACAUCUGUAAGCUCUUCCAAAAAAUGAGAUGUGAACGCUAGGGUCCGAUCCCGAUCCAAUAGAUACCGACACCCAGUGAAGUCUCGACCACCCUCAUUCAAUUAGAUAGACUGAGCGCUAAACUUGUCUCCUCGACCAGUGUGUGGACGCGGAAAAAAAGUGUGCCGAUUUUGUCGAACGCGGCUCCACAACUACCAUUCACUCGGCGUCAUGCUCCACCCUUGUGACCUAGGCAGCCUGUCACAAAGUCCAUUGCAAUGUUUUCCAUUUCCAAACGGGUAAAGGUAGGCUCUGUAAUUUCCGCCGCUGCGAAAAUCGACGCCUCCGCUUCACUUGUUGGGCACGUCAGACCAUUGCGCCACGAACUUCCCUAUGUUUCUUCAUGGCCGACCACCAAUAAAUGUAAUUCAAGUCUCGGCUACAUUUUGGUGCGCCCGGGUGAAUACUCAUAGGGAGACGAUGCGUCAGUUAUGCAUAAGCGCCGCUCGCGAAGACUCGUCGUCCUUGGGCACGCAACAACGAUCCCCGACUAUGUAGUGCGCGUCGCUUCCAAUUGCCCAAAAAUCUUCGCACUCACCGCUCUCAAACUUUUGCGCCCCGGCACCUUUGGAAGAAAUACAUCCCGAUAUUGUGCAAUCCUGUGAUUUUCUCGCAACAAGUUGGUUUGACAACGUAAGGUGGCCAAGCAUUGCAGCAUCCCGGCGCCACAAUUUUGCCAACGAANNNNNNNNNNNNNNNNNNNNNNNNNCUCUCUUUCUAGGAAGAUGGAGGAAUGUAACACACGGACCUUUGCAAUUGCGAGGUCGGUGGUUUCGAGGUUGUCUGGGAGGGGCUUUUCCUAAUUUUCUGGGGGGGGGUGGGUCGUUACCAGUGUUUGCUCCGACCUAUGGUUGAAAUCCGAGAAUUGUAGAUAUUUUAUGUAUCCACUAAGGUCACUAAAUGAGUUGGACCAGCUACGCUCGGAUUGCAUUCGCACGAUGCGUUAAUCGAUGACACAAAAGGCCGUCGAUGGCCUUGUACGUUUUAAAUUACCGGCUACAAUUUUCUGAUGAUUGAUACCGCGAUACAUCUUGCGUCCGAAAUUUUCAACGGCUCGGAAUUUUGCAUUUUGAUUAGAGCUCUUACAGUACACUUUCCUUACCGGCUCACUUUGGCAGUUAUUCGAACAGUUACAAACGCACGGUGUUUUAUUGCAUUUGCAUCCUCUAUAUGAUACCCCACGCCUCCCCCUUUGGUUUACCUGAUGCCAGACAACUCAAGAGGAAACAGGUGAAUCAGAGCCACCUCACUUUGCUCAUUUGGAUAUUGCCUUUUUCUGAUUUUUAGGUGUUUUUAGCUCUCCUUUUCCUUUUGAGAGCUUUCACGCAUUGUUGAGUUCGGAGUCUUGGAGAUGGAGCUCUAUUGGAGAGGCAGAACUUCAACCCUAUGUUGUUUGGGGCCUUGUUUGGAGAGCUUUUAAGAGUUAGAUGUUUUUCUCUUCUCUUGUAUUUGUAUUUUGAUGAGUGAUGUAUAGAUGGAAACCCUAGAAUUGUGAGUUUAGUGAUUUUGAGGCUAUUUUGAUUCUUGGGCCUAUUGAGAUAAAAUUGAUUAUUACCUUAUUUCUAAGCGUUUGCAAUUGGAAUGACUAAUGAGCUUCCAUUUGAGCUUUAAAAGGUGAUUUUCUACACCUAGUUGAGGAUUACGCAUAUUUUUGCCUUGAAUGAGUUUACUUAAGCGUUGAAUUUCGGAGCUUGUUCGUUUUCAGUUUGGAACCUUCGUUUUGAGGUCUCUAGGGUAUAGGAGUUAUGUGGGCACUCCUUUCGGCGAAACGAUGAGAUUUCAGAUGUAAUUGGCUGGGUUGGGCUCGACGAGAAUGAGAUAAAACUUUCAUAGAGGUUUUUUAUUUAUCGAAACUUUAACGGUGAAAAGCAUCUUAUUCUUAUCGGAUAGAAUAUUUGAGAAUUUUAGAGUUUUGUGCUUAAAUGCACAUGUCAAUGUCAUAUACCAUGCAUAUUGACCUCUAGGUAUAGUAGAUAGAUUCUUCAUUGGCUACGCUUGGGUAGCAUUCUUACGUUAAUGAUGAUCACGUAUGUCAUACAGUGCAUAUGGCAUAUAGAUUACACUCUAUGUGGACUUUAGAAAGUCAUAUUUACAUGGCUUGGCACUGUCGACAUUAAGUGACGAUAGCUAGGUGUUAACAAGAUAGUAAAGCUAUGUCAUAUAAGCGGCUUGUUAGUAAUGCUUGUGGGUCGCUGGACUAGAUAUGGACUAGCAACUGCCGAAUGUCAAUUAAAAACGGCAAUUCUAGACUUGAAUGAUAUGUAAAUUGCAUGCUGCAUGUUAUUCUAUAGAUUAUCAAGUUAUAGUUGCAAUGGUAAAUGAACUAAUGCUAGCAUAUGAAACACGCUAUGAGAGCAUGUGUAAUUAAUUUCUAUUAUGAUGAACAAGCUAGCUGUCAUAAAGAGAAUAUAGUAAUGUCAAUUUGAGCUUAGAUUUGUAGCAUAUGUUUUAGUGGUAUAAGAGGCACCUCAUAAAACAUAUGUAAUGUCCAGGGAACUACACCUUGAGUUUUGACUUAGUAGAAGCUAAGGUCUAAUUGACGAAUUGAUAUACUCGCAACGCGUUUAAACCUUCACUUGAGCAUCCGUAAUGACUAGACACUGGAAACAGGGCAGGCUGCUAUAGUGCAUUAUCCGAUGUUAGAGACAUGUUGAUGACUGUGAUUGAGUUGCAAUUUUUCAUGUGUUGGCAACAUGACGAUUGGGACUAUUGAUGGUUUUGACAUGUUGCUUGACGUUUGUGCUCAUUACGCACAUGCUAGUGAGGGGUCGCUCCACACCACAAGCCGGCACUCCGGAUAGACUAACGCACUAUAUUCCCCCUGCGGUAUCGAGUAGCCUUACGAGUGCCUGGAGAUAGACUUCCAUUCGUAGAGUGGAUGGGAGUACACUGGCAUCUAUAGGCUGGCACAGUAAGCGGACUAAACUGAUGUAGAUCUGGAUUGAGAUUGAACCGAGAUAAAUUAAGCAAUAAGUUGGAAAUUUCAUAACUAGAUAGGUUAUAGUAGUAUUGGAUUUUUUAUAUGCUAUGGCAUAGUGUUGGCACAUCUGCUUAGGAGUGAAUGAUCUUACAGUAUCUCGCUUAUUACAUUGUAGUAUUCUUGGUUGCUUAUGAUAGUACAUUACUAAGAUAUGUAGCGGGCUCUAGAAAUAUAAUAUCAACAUUUAUCAGCAUACUUGAAUCUGAUCACUCGAUAAUUGUUAAGUCUUGGCACUAUACGAUUCAUUUAGAGUAGAUGGAUACUUCCAUUGACAUUCAGAAAUACUUUGUGCCAUAGUAGAGUAGCAUUUUAAUUUCAGGCUUCAUAUUACGGUUGAGUAUUUUCUCUGUUAAUCAAUUUUUGAUCGUUUUGGGCUAGUGAGCGAAUUUUGGUGCCAGGUCAAUAAAUUGCCACUACGGAACUAUAAUUUUAUAUUCUCACGCCCCUGAAAACCCUAAAUCCAUAUACACGGCUAUACUGCCGUUUAUGUUUUCUUUCAGUGCACUUCCACUCCGGGAGAGGCUCGGGAUCGCAGGGAAAAGUUUCGCCUCGAGUAGCUAUCGAGGUGGGCCUUGUCUUAGUAGGUUCCACCUUCUUUUGUUUUCUUUGGAGAGAUUGUGUGUGAGAGUUUGUUAUCUGAUUUAUAGAGGCACCUAUUUUUGCUAUCUUGAAAACUUAUGAUGUGUAUUAGUUUAAUUUUGCUGAUAGUUAUGUUUUCUUUUGAUUCUACCUAAUGGUUAGAACCAGCUAUAUACUUGCUCUCGUAUCUCUAGUGUAAUUUCUCAUAUGCUUUAAUCUUUCGUUUUGUGUAACGCCUUUAUAUGAGUUAGAAAAUAUGCUUGAGUCUGGAGCGAGCACGCGAGAGCUAUGCCGGCGUCCGGGGCUGAAUUAAAUUUGGUAUAGGAGCUUAAGGAUUUAGUACUUAGUGAGACUAGCGAACUUAGGCGGUUGGAAUAUAGGAAUUAGACUGUGAGAGACGAGUCAUAUAUAACCUAUGAGCGAAGAUAUAGUGGUUUUUCUUUGUACUCAAAAAGUUGGAGUGAAUCGAUAGUUAUGGCUUUUACUUCGGUGAGGUGUUCUGUUGCGGCGACUAAGAUUCGGUAACAUCGGAGUUUAGUUGUUGGGGACAUUCUUUACUUUCGCAAUGAUUUGGGCAGAAAGGUGUGGUUAUUUGAGCGGGGUCGGUUGCAGUGCGUGGGUUUAUAACUUCGCUUAUUUAUGUGUUGUAGCUGUUGUGCCCGAUACCGCUCUAAGUCGGUUAGAAGCGGACGAGUGCGACAUAAAUCAAAGAGAAACAAAGAGGAAGAAAAGAGAGCUCCCUUACCUUGCUCUCCCUGCUUCCAAGCUCAGGGAACACCAAGGGGGACGUGGGGGUAUGUUAUAGAGUUGCUACAAUAGCAAAAACACCCCUGUAGUUCAAACUGUUCGAAAACUGCCAAAGUGUACCGGUACACGGGAAAGUGUACCGGUACAAAUCCCACGAAAAUGCAAACCCGAGGCUCGGGUUUGAAAUUCGGCACAAGUGUACCGGUACAGCCAUCGAAAGUGUACCGAUACAAAAUGUGUACCGGUACAACCAUCGACAUGUCACCGGUUACACCAUGUGCAGAAUGCAAUCCGAGGGUAGGCUAAGUCCAACUCUUUAGUGACCUUAGCGCUACAUAAAAUACUACAAUUCUCGGAAUUCGAACCAUAGGUCGGAACACUGUCAACGACCCACCAGAAAAUCUGAAAAAGCUCAGGACACAGUCCAAACACUCGAACCUCGCAAUUUGCAAAGGUCCAGUGUGUUACAUUCUCCCCUCCUGAAAAGGAGUUUCGUCCGCGAAACUGCGGGUCAACCACACAACAAACCCAUCCGAAGAUGAUGGAAGAAGCGCUCCAACAGCGCCCCAAACAGACCAUGAUGGUCUCAAGUGUGCUGGAAAACUCCAAGGCGCAAACACAACAAGAUCUCGCGACGCCAAGGUUUUGGCAUAACACAACCCACACUUCCGCAUAAGCUUCUUGAACUCAAGCCUUCACCGAAAGUUCCAUCUUCAAUCCGCGCUUGAUUUCAAGUUCUUCAAUCGGUUCUUAGGAAUCAAGUGUUUCCGAAAGCUGAAUUCCAAUUCUCACCUAUCUCGCCCAAGUCGGGGGUAAAGCCUUGCUCUGCUUCAAUUACUCUGGUAUAUAGGAUUACAUCCAAACACCCCUUAAGGUGGAUUCAAAGGCACUGUCCAAAGCAAGCAUUUGGGGGUUAAAUCUCUUACUCAUCUAUCCAAACACCAUUGGAGUGCUCAUCAGAUCAACGCUCACCGAGGAGAGGUGAUGCAACAUCCGCUGAUCGGCUCAUAUUCCAACAAUGAUCCUAAAUCAAGUCUCUUCUCGAGAUGGCCUAACUAAGCGUAAUCCAAUCCAGUUUAAGUGCAGUGUAAUUUCCAUCCCACUGCCAUUCACAACGUCCAUCCAUCCGUCCAACCUUGCUGGGCACGGACGGUUCCAAAUCCACCAACAAGGUAACCAACUUCCGAAAAGUAACAGAAAUCAACUGAUCGUCCAAACUCGCCCAUCAUGGCGAUUACUUGGUUCCUCAUUCGGCACUGCGCUACGAUGUCUCCACAUCAAUCUCGAACUCACCACUCGGGAGUACCCUCCAUUCUCCGCAAAACAUAGUCACGGACCAAGCUCAAAAGCUUCAUUAAUUCACUAAGAUCAUCAUCUUAGUCCCAACUCAAGUCCAAGCAAACCCUCAGAGAUUCGAUCUCAAAGCUUUCCCUAGUCACGGAUGCCCCAGGUGUCGGUAGCCAUCGAGCUCAGUUCACGCGAUAGAGAAGGGUCAAUCCACGGUUCGAUAACAGCUUUCUAUCAAGGUCACUCUGAUGCGACUAUCAAGCCAAAAUUAAUCCCAUAAGUCCUCAUAUGCAGUUCUAUCUCGAAGAGCUCAAAUCCUUGUACAAGCUCAAGACACGGGGAAAAAAAAGCACUUGGUACAUUCCCCCUCACAAAAUCUCCAUCCAUCAGUGAGAGUUUCACAACUCGAUUGCUUCAAACCUGCCCACGCAGUCUAAACUCGCGCAUCCUAUAAAAAUACCCCAAGUCAUCCGCGACUGGUCCACAAAUCCACACACGGCUCGGAAUUAUCAUUCUGCAAAUCCCUUCCACUGGUGGAGUACUACAGUCUUGGCAACAUCAUCCUUGUGAGGUUCCAACCUAGCAUCAUGACCCGUUCGAGGUGUAACCUCAAACUCCAACAUCAAAUGGCACUACUCAGAUCGCUCACAGUCUAAUCGAAUACACCAACAACUCAAGGCCAAGUGACAAGAUCAUUGGGCCUCAACGCUGUCCAAACACCAAGUCGUGGUUCAAUUUGAAUCACGAUGGUCGACAUACCGUCGAAACGGCCCAACCGGUCCCACAACAAGUGAGAGUGCUCCUCCACGAAACAAAACACCAACUAUAGAACCUCCCUGCCAAUCGAGCUAACUAUUAGUGACUCGAUCAGGGACACAACGACCGAUCAAGGACAUCCUUUAUUUCAAGGAUUCUCAACCACCCAAAGCUGAUGGCCACUCAGGCCCUAAACCCUCUCCAACACUUUCCCAAUUUUAGGUAAGGGAGACAAUCAACACAUCUAGCGGAAGUAAAUCUUCAAAUCGCACUAUUUCGUGCUCACAGUCCUCAAGGCGAGUCAAGUCAGCUCGCAAUCCAAGGAUACCAGGUACCCACAACAACUCCACACCAAGGAAGGCCAAUCUAUUUGUUGGCACACGGAACCAUCUCACGGGGUAGGGCGUUCGAAAUGACACACCCGAUCAACCGAUCACCCACACGCGCCAAAAGGCUCAACGCUAACAAAUCCUCGGGUUGGGUAACUACACACUCAGUGUGUCCUCGAUCUCACGAUCCAACACGUGGCUUUCCAUGCUCCAGGGUCGAGGCUCGGACUACCAUCCUAACCAAAACUCUGCCGUACCAACAGGUACCGGGCCGCUGUCACACACAGCCGACUGCGCUUGCCCAACGGGCCCAGGCUCCACACUCCCCAAAUGGUCCAGGCACGGUCGUCUCCAAGCCCCAUCUGGCAAACAGCCGAGCCAGGGAUACAACUAAUGCAAUCCUCGUGAGAUCUACAAGCAUAGCAAAAUAAAAAAAUAUGCUACCCGCAACUCGCAAAUCAAUCGCCUAGCUCGAGGGGCUACACAAUGUCACAAACAUCGAACUAACGAAAUGCUAUGCAACUCGGCGAAUAGCCGAUCAGAAUAUAGAUGCAAUGCACCAAUAGCAAACAAUGCACAACACAAAUGCCACAGGGGGGACCGAUACCUGAAAUCACAAACUUGGCUGCUGCCGCCUUCUCAGUCUAGGCCACAUACGCACGCCUGCUCGGGGCCCGUCGUGACCCCUCCGUCUGUCUCAGGAAAGGUGGCCACACGGCCAGGUAGUAGGCAGAAGGCGUCCCCUGGCUGGGACCCGGUAAAGCUGCGGCCGAUGCUGAAGAUGGCGCUGCUACUACACCCCUCGAAUAGUCGGACAGGAAGUGACCCUCCUGGCCACACGAGUAGCACCUGCCCUGCCUCUGUGAGCACUGCUACGGGUAAUGACGACCACCGCAGAUCACGCAGCUCAGAGUUUGACGACACUCGGAUCCUCUAUGCCGUGCUGAUGAGCCACGUCCUCGCGACUGGCUUCGGUUCCUAGAAUGUUUCGGCGGCCUCCCAGAGUGCGUCUGAUUCGCGCCCUCAGUCGCGGGCCUCUUGCCCUUUCCUUUGUUCGAGCCUUUUUGACGCUCCUGCAAGUCUGCCGCGCAGCUUUCCACGAUGAGAGCGCGGUUCACCACAUCUUGGCAAGUCCGAGGAUUGGAGGGUUGCACCAACUGAUAGAUCGACGGUCGAAGUCCUCGCUCGAAGAUGCGAGCCUUAUCCUCGUCGUCCCGCACAACAAAGGGCGCAUAGUGUAGAAGCUGAGAGAACUCCUUCUCGUACUCGGCCACAAUCCGAUCCCCCUGGCACAUCUCGCGUAGAUCCUGCUCCAUUUUCCUCUUCACGCGGACGAGGAAGUAAUGCUCCAACAAGAGCUCCUUGAAUCUCUUCCAAGAAAUCGCUGCUAGGUCGGUGUUGGGAUUAUCCUGGAUGCCCACCCACCAACUAUAGGCCUCGCCGUCCAAAUGGUGAGUGGCGAGCCAAACUCUAUCUCUCUCCUCCACGAAGGUGUCGCGGAAUAACUUCUCCAUGUGCAUCAACCACUUCUCAACGAUUCAGUGGUCGGCUUUCUCUCCAUCGAAGAUCCUGGGAUCGUACCUCCUGAACUCGUCGAGGCGAUCCAUGAGUCGCUGACGCUCCACUUUUUUUCAACCAUCAAAGGAAAAGUCGCCGCUGCCACAGGCACCUGAGCUGGUGGUGCUGCCAAUAUCUCCUCCCGAAAGCUACUGUAAGUGUCGUCUGCGAAGUGUCGAGUACAGGGGACGACCCCCCCCCCGGCCACCAAACUGUCUCCACUGGCGCAGGUAGUAAAAGACUGAGCCUUUUGGGCAGCGUGCUGUAAAGAAGGUCCUCCAGGCCGCUGCAUCAUACCUCUGCCGGCGUGCUGUAUCCACGCAGCUGUCGAGUCGUCGCCGCUUGCUGUGUUACGAAAUCAGCGAGGCCGCAAGCUGACUCCUCAACUCACGGACCUCACCUGAUCCGGGUAGCGGAUGUCUCCGCUUCCUCAAAGUCGCCGCAGUCGUCCGCUUUACAACUUAGAGCGUGUAGCGCAUCAACACUACAACAACAUAAAAGCGCAAGUUUCAUAAUAACCCCCGCUAUCGGAACCCCGCUGAACAUGACAAUAUCCAAAUCAUGCGAAAGUAGAAGUGUCCGAACUCACUAACUCCCAGAUGUUACGUUGUCGGCCGCCAACGUAACCCUCCCGAAGUUAGAAGCCAUACACUUCGAUCGAACCAACUUCUUGGAGUUAUCAGAAGAAACCCAAUCAUGAUACUUCGCUCAUAAAUAUAAUAGAACCUCAUCUCUCACGAGUCUAAUUCCUAUAGUCCACCGCCUAAGGUUCGCUAGGUCUACUCAGACUCAACCCUAGGCUCUGAUACCAAAUUAAUCUUGUCACGCCCGACCGUAUAGGCCCGACCGUGCGCGCCCCAAACCCGCCAUAUGUCUACACAUAUAAGCGUCUUACACAAAAGCGAAGAGUAAAGUAUGAGAAUCUCUGCAACUAGAGAUAUCAGAGCAAGUAUAUAGCUAGGUUCUAACACAGGUAGAAUCAAAAGAAAUAUAACACUAAGCAUAAAGUUAAACUGAUACAUCAUAAAUCUCAAGAUACAAAAAUAGGGUGGUCCUAUACGACCAGGUACAAACUCUCACAACCUCUCCAAAAGAGCAAACAGAGAGGUGGCCACCUAUCACUCAAGUCCCUCGAUAGCUAACUCGAGGCGAAACUUUUCCGCGCAUCCGAGCCUCUCCGCGGAUGGAAGGCCUGAAAAGAAAACAUAAAACAGGGGGCGUGAGAACUAUAAUUAUAGUUUCCAGUGGGCAAUUAACUACCUACAUCAACUGCACACUAGGCCCAAAACAACAGAUAUAAGAUAACGAAAUAACGUUGCGAAAAUAAAGGCAUAUAUUGAAAUGCUAAUACUCUAUCCACAAAUAUUCUGAAUAUCAACAUGGAGUACAUCUACUCUACAUGAUCCAAUAUGUCAAAACUUAAACAAUAUGGCGCUGAUGCAACAAGUAAUGCUAUGAAGUAUGCUAUACUGACCAAAUCUCCACUACAUAUCUAGUAUGUACUAUCAUAGCAAUAAGAAUACUACCAUGUAAUAAUGAUACUGUCAAUAUACUCUAAGCCCAAAUGUUAACACUAUGCCAUAGCAUAUCAAGAGUCAACUACUAUAACCUAGCUAGUAGGAUUGUCCACUUGUUGCUUAAUAUCUGGUUCAAUCUCAAUUAGGAUCUAACAAGGUGUAGUCGGCUUGUGCCGCCUAAGUGCCAGUGGUAAGCUCAGCAUUCCUACUCUAGAAUGAGUCUAUCCCCUCAGCCCGUGACCUACUCGAUACCGGACGAGCGAACAUAAUCGCGUAGCCUAACUCCGGAGUGCCGCUUGUAGGGAGCGACCCUCACAAGCAUGUGCGAAUGAGCACAAAUGGCAAGACAGCAUGGUCAAUACCUCAAUAGUCCAAUCGUCAUGUCUCCAAACAUGGUAAUAGCCACCCAACAGUCCAGUGUGUUAACGGGAUCUACUUCCAUCCCUGUUAUGAUUAAGAGAUUCUUCAAGCAAAUGAGUAGAUAAUCUUGUGACAAGUAUGAUGUUUGCCUUGGGCCUAUUGACUCAGUGACUUGGGCUAAGUCUGUAUGCACUCUCAGUCAUUCCAUCAGACCAAAGGGCCACUCCUGAAGCAUCUAGCCCAGCACCUCCACCGAGAGCAGCUUCUAGCUCUGCUCCUCCGCCUCCAUCCCGAGGGAGUUAUGAUACUUCAUCUAGUUCGGGGGGAGCGACGACAUUGGAAUCAGUUAAGGAUGAUUUGCGAAAAUUAAAGAAGAAGGUGAACAACAUUGGAAGAAAAGUUGAGUCUAGCAUCAAAAAGUUUGAAUUAAGUAUCAAAAGAUUGAUGGAUAAGAUGGGGUGUCGACAUGAUGAUAUUUGGGAACCUACUCCAUCUUCUGCUUCGUAUCAGCGGUCAUCUUCACGACAUCCUCUCAUUCCAUCGUCUGGUGAUGCUCCUGAGGCUGGGGGUUCUGGAGCUGGUGCUGGAGAUGAUGAUGAUGAUGACGAGGACAUGGAGUGAUUUCUUCGUCGAGAUUAGUCUUUCUCUUUCACUGCAUUUGCUGUUUAGGAUGAUGUUUUAGUUUUAGUUCUACUUGUUUUUUCUUUUAGGCCUGUAACUAUGACUUGACUACGCUUAUGCUUUUCUAGCUUGUUUUCUCUCUCUAUUUGCUUUCUUUUGGCAAUUUUUGACAAAAAGGAGGAGAGCGUAGAUAAAGGGGGAGAGCGUAGAUGAAGGGGGGGAGCAUGAAUGAACAGGCAUUGAACUAAAGCAGAGGAUGAUAAGUUCAAGACCAAAGGGGGAGAUGUGAACAAAGACAAAGAAGGUAUAAGAAUUUAAGGCUAAUCAAGGCUAAUCAUUUUUGAGUGAAUUGUUUUGCAGGAUUUCAAGACUUCAAGACUCCUAGUUGCGUCUAAGUCAUAGAAUCUGUUUUAGUAGUUUUGAAAUGUAUUUUGAGUUUCAAAUUGUAUUUGGAUUACACGCGAGGAGUUCAAUGUUUUGGUGAUGACAAUUGAACUUCGUUUGUCACGCCCCGAGAUCCGCCUAUUUGGUCGGAUUCGGGCACGCCGACAGACCGCCGAACGGACAGAGCCUCCCCUGUACGUUCCAUGCGUCACAAUCUAUACAAUGCAAUACAAGAGGUUCCAAACAGGAACUGUAUUCAACCACAGAUUGCAUAAGUAUCAAAAACAUAAAAUGCUAACUAUGCUAUUACAAGCAUUCAUCUCAGAAUUUUUACUUUUACAAUAUUACAUAAGCCUUUAAAUUAUUACAACUUAUACACUUUUACUACAAUUUUGUUUCAUUCAUAUUGAUACGCUGAGCUUGACUCUUCAGGGUAUUGCUAUCUCGGUCUGUAACAUAUGGAAACUUGGAAUUGCGAUGUCAACUUUGACCUAGAGGGUCAAAGUGAGGAUUGAGCUAGUUGGACAUCAUCCUCGAGUGAUUUGUGAUGCGUUGGAAUGAAUUUCGGAGAUAAAUAAGUGUUUCGGCGCAAAUUGGGCGCGAAACAAAAUAUAAAGAGAAUUUCGGAUUUCCGACGCUAACUUUGAUUAAAAGAAAUGAAAGUAAGGCGUAAAGAUAAAUUGUGGCAUCUCCGAAUCAGUUGGGAAGUCUUGGAAAAGCCAAGGGUGUGUUAUCAAAGGGCUUUGAAGAGCUCAGGGCGAAGUGGUAGUGUGAAAAAGGAGAAAGUGCAUUGGAGCUGAUUCUAUUUCUCAUUCGGCUCCAAUAAUGUCAAAAUGAAAAGGAAUGGCUUCCAAAUUGAAUUGGUAGCUUGUGAAGGUCCCUUGGUAUAUUUUGGACAUGUUUGGAAGAAAUCGGAGCGAAAACGAAAAAUGUAGAAUUUUCUGUAAAGAACGGGACUGAGAAAAUUAGCAGAAAAUGCACAAUUCUGCCUCCUGGAAAAGGAGUUUCGUGCCCGAAACGGCGGUCAACCACACAGACCCCGCGAAUAUAAUGGAAGAAGCGCUCCCAACAGCGCCGCCAACAGACAUAAUGCCAGUGUGGCUGGAAAACUCCACAGGCGGCAACACAGGCACAAUCUUCGGCGCGCAAGGGUUUUGGCAUAACAACAACCCACACUUCCUGAUAAAGCUUCUACUCAAGCUCACCGAAAUUUCGCAUUGCUUCAAUCGGCUUGAUUUCAGUCUUCCAUCGUUCUUAGGAAUCAAGUGUUUCCGAACGCUGAUCCAAUUCUCACAUAUCUCGCCCAAGUGGGGGUAAAGCCCUUGCUUACUGCUUCAAUUACUCUGGUGAUAUAGGAUUACAUCCAAAACCGCCGAAGGUGAUUUCAAGCACUGUCAAACACAAGACAUUUGGGGGUUAAAAUCCUACUCAUCUAUCCAAACAUUGGACGUGCUCAUACAUAGUCAACGCUCCGCGAGGAGAGGUGAUGAACAUCCGCUGAUCGGCUCAUAUUCCAACAAUGAUCCUCCAAUCCAGUCUCUCUCGAGAUGGCCUAACUAAGCGUAAUCAAUCGCAUUUAAGUGCAUGUAAUUUCCAUCCACUGCACAUUUCACAACGUCCAUCAUUCGUCCACCUUAGGUGGCAGGACGGUUCCAAUCACACGAAGGUAACCACUCGAAAGUACAGAAAUCCUGAUACGUCCAACUGCGCCAUGCAUGGGAUUACUUGUUCUCAUUCGCACUGCGUAUGAUUCUCCACACAUUCUCGAACAUACGCACUUCUCGGAGUACCCUCCAUUCCUCCGCAAAACAUAGCAUACGGACCAAGCUCAAAAGCUCAAUUCAUUCACUAAGAUCAUCAUCUAUCCAACUAAGUCCAAGCAACGCUCAGAAUUCGAUUGUAAAGCUUUCCUAGUCACCGGAUGCCCCAGGUUCGUAAGCAUCGGACUCAGUUCACGAUUGCGAUAGGAGGAAGGGUCAUCCACGGUUCGAUAACGAGCUUUCUAUCAAGGUCACUCUGAUGCACUAUCAAAGCCAAAAUUAAUUCCAAAGUUCAUAAUACAGUUCUAUCCCGAAGGCAUAAAUCCUUGUACAAGCUCAAGACACGGGAAAAAUAGGACUUGGUACAUUCCCCUCCACAAAAUUCCAUACAUCAUGAAGUUCACAACUCGAUGCUUUCAAACCUCCCACGCAGUUAAACUCGGCAUGCCUAUAAAAAUACCCAAGUCAAUCGCGCGGACUGUCCACAAUCCCAACAGCACGCGCGGAUUAUCAUUCUGCAAAUCCCUUCCACUGGUGAGUCUAGCAGUCUUGAACAUCAUCCUGUGAGGUUCGCAACCAUGCAUCAUGCCCGUUCGAGGUGUAACGUCAAACUCCAACAUCAAAUGGAAACCUAUCAGAUCGGUCACGAGUCUAAAUCGAAUUAACCAAACUCAAUGCAAGUGACAAGAUCAUUGGGCUCAACGCUGUCCAAAGACACCAGACGUGGUUUAAUUUGAACACGAUGGUCCCGAACAUACCGUCGAAACGGCCCAACGCUCCCACAAGUGAGAGUGCCUCUCCACAAACAAAACACACUAUAGAACCUCCCUGCCGGAAUCGAGCUAAUAUUAGUGACUGAUCAGGGACAAGAAUCGAACCGAUCAAGGAACCUUUAUUUCAAGGAUUCUCACCACCAAAGAGUGAUGCCACGUCAGGCCUCUAACCCUGCUCCAGAGCACUUUCCCAAUUUUAGUAAAGGAGACAAUCAAACAUCUAUCGGAAGUAAAUCUUAAAUCCACUAUUUGUGCAUCACGUCUCAAGAGAGUCAAGUCGCUCGCGAAUCGACCAGAUACAGGUACGCUCACAACAACUCACACCACAGGAAGGCCAAUCUAUUUGUUGGCACACCGAACAUCUCAAGGGGAUAGGGCGUGUCGAAAUUCAACAGUUGGCCCGAUCAACCGAUCAACCACGGGCACGCGCAAACAGCUCAACGCUAACAAAUCCUCGGUCUGGGUAAUCACACUCAGUGUGUACCUUGAUCUGAUCCAACACGUGCUUUCCAUGUCCGAGGUCGAGGCUCGGACUAACAUCCUAACAAAACCUGCCGUACCAACAGGUCCGGCCGCUGUCACCACGCCGCUGCGCUUACGCGCACCGGGCCCAGGCUCCACACUCCCAAAUGGUCGCAGGGGCACGGUCUGCUCCAAGCCCAUCUGGCAAACAGCGCGAGCCAGGGAUCAACUAAUGCACUCGCUCGUGAGCAUCUACAUGCUAUGCAAAAAUAAAAAAAAUAUGCUACCCGCAAUUCGCGAAACAAUCGCCUAGUCGAGGGUACACAGUCACAGAAACAUCGAACUAACCGAAAUGCUAUGCAACUCGGCGAAUAGCCGAUCAGAAAUAGAUGCAAAAUGCACCAAUAGCAAAAAAUGCCACACAAAUGCCACAAGGGACCGAUACUGAAAUUACACAAACUUGGCUGCGCCCGCCUUCGUCAUUGUGAUCUAGGGACCACAUACGCACAGCUGCAUGCGGGCCCGUGUGACCCUUCGUCUGUCUCAGAAGGUGCAGCAUGACGCCAGUAGUGAGCAGAAGGCGUCCCUUGGGCCUGGACCCGGUAAAGCUGGGCGGCCGAUGCUGAAGAUGGCGCUGCUGCUACAGCCCUCGAAUAGUCGGGACAAGGAAGUGACCUCCUGGCCACACGAGACACUGCCCUGCCUCUGUGAGCAUGGGCUACGGUAAGUGACGACCACCGCAGACUACGCAGCUCAGAGUUUUGACGACAUCGGAAUCCUCUAAUGCCCGUGGUGAUGAGCGACGUCAUCGCGAACUGGCUUUCGGUUCCCUAGAAUGUUUCGGCGCCUCCCAGAGUGCGUCCUGAUUCGCAUGCCUCCAUCGCGGGCCUCUCUUGCCCUUUCUUUGUUCGAAGGCCUUUUUGACCUCCUGAAAGUCUGGGCGCAGCUUUCCAGAUGAGCACGCGUUCACCCACAUUUGCAAGGUCCGAGGAUUGGAGGGUUUCGCCAACUGAUAGAGUCGACGGUCGACCGUACCCGCUCGAGAGAUGCGAGCCUUAUCCUCGUCGUCCCGACAACAAAGGGCAUAGUGUAGAAGCUGAGAGAACUCUUCUCGUACUCGCCACUACGAUCCCCCUGGCACAUCUCGCGUAGAUGCUGCUCCCUUUCUCUUCAGCCGCGGACGAGGAAGUAAUGCUCCACAAGAGCUACUUAAAUCUCUCCAAGAAAUCGUGGCAGGUCGGUGUUGGGAUAUCCUGGACUCCCACCCACCACUAUAGGCUCGCGUCCAAAAUGGUGAUGGAGCCAAAUCUACUUCUCCUCCACGAAGGGAUGUCGCGGAAUAAUUCUCCAUGUGCAUAAAACCAACUUCUCAAGCGAUUCAAGUGCGGCUUCUCUCCCAUCGAAGAUCCUCGGAUCGUACCUCCUGAACUCGUCGAGGCCGAUCCAUGAGUCGCUAGAACGUUUUUUUCUCCACUUUUUUUCAACCAUCAAAGAAAAAGUCGCCGGCUGGCCGAAGCAACCUGAGCUGGUGUGCUGCAAUAUUCCUCCCGAAAGCUACUGUAAGUGUCGUUGCGAGUGUCGAGUACAGGGACGACCCCCCCCCCGGCCACCAAACUGUCUCCACUGCGCAGGUAGUAAAAGACUGAGCCUUUUGGGCAGUCGAUGUGUAAAGAAGGUCUCAGGCGCUGCAGUCAUACCUCUGCCGGCGUGCUGAUCGACCAGCUGUCUGAGCGUCGGCGCUUGCUGUGUUACGAAUCAGCGAGGCCGCAAGCGUUGACUCCCUAACUCCGACCGUCACCUGAUCCGGGUAGCGGAUGUCUCGCGCUUCCGUCAAAAGUCGCCGCAUCGUCCGCAUUUACAACUUAGAGCGUGUAGCGCAUCAAAUCAACAAUACAUAAAAGCCAAGUUUCAUAAUAACCCCCCGCUAAUCUUGGAACCCCGCUGAACAUACAAUAUCCAAAUCAUCCGCGAAAGUAUGAAGUGUCCGAACUCACUAACUCCCAGAUGUUACGUUGUCGGCCGCCAACGGUAACCCUCCCGAAGUUAGAAGCCAUACACUUCGAUCGAACCAACUUCUUGGAGUUAUCAGAAGAAACCAAUCAUGAUACUUGCUCAUUAAAUAUAAUAGAACCUCAUGCUCUCACGAGUUAAUUCCUAUAUGUCCACCGCGAUAAGGUUCGCUUAGGUCACUCAGACUCAACCUAGGCCUCUGAUACCAAAUUAAUCUUUGUCACCAGGCCCCGACCGGUAUAGGCCGACCGUGCGCCCACCAAACCCGAUAUGUCUAACACAUAUAAGCGUCUUCACAAAAGCGGAAGAGUAAAGUAUGAGAAAUUCUGCAACUAGAAUAUCAGAGCAAGUAUAUAGGCUAGGUUCUAACACAGGGUAGAACAAAGAAAUAUAACACUAAGCAUAAAGUUAAACUGAUAAUAUAAUCUCAAGAUACAAAAUAGGCGUGUCUCUAAUAACUGACCAGGUACCAAAACUCUCCAAAACAACCUCUCCCAAAAGAGUCAAACAGAGAGGUGGCCACCUAUCACUAAGUCCCGUCUAUAGCUAACUCGAGGCGAAACUUUUCCGCGAUCUUCGAUGCCUCUCCGCGGAUGGAAGCUCUGAAAAGAAAACAUAAAAAGGGGGCGUGAGAACUAUAAUUAUAGUUCAGUGGGCAAUAUAACUACCUACAGUCAAAACUGCACACUAGGCCCAAAACAAGCAGAUAUAAAUAACGAAAUAAAGAUUGCGAAAAUAAAGCAUAUAUUCGAAAUGUAUACUACUAUACCAGCAAAUAUUACUGAUAUCAAACAUGAGGGUACAUCUACUCUACAUGAUCCAAAUAUGUCAAAAUUAAACGAUAUGGCGCUGAUGCAACAAGUAAUGCAUGAAUAUGCUAUACUGACCAAAUCCCACAUAUUAGUAGUACUAGUCAUAGCAAUGUAAGAUACUACAAUGUUAAUAAGUGAUACUUGUCAUAUACUCUAAGCCCAAAUUAUAACCACUAUGCCAUAGCAUAUAGAGUCCGAACUACUAUAACGCUAGCUAGUAGUGAAUGUCCACUUGUUGCUUAAUAUCUGGUUCAUCUCAAUUGGAUCUAACAAGGUGUAGUCGGCUUGUGCCGCUAAUGCCAGUGGUAGCUCAGCAGUCCUACUCUAGAUGAAUGAGUCUAUCCCUCCAGCCCCUUGGACACUCGAUACCCAGACGUCGAUACAUAAGUCGCGAGGCCUAACUCCGGCAGUGCCGGCUUGGAGGGAAGCGACCCUCACAAGCAUGUGCGAAUGAGCCACAAAUCAAGCAUCAGCGAUGGAUCAAUACCUCAAUAGUCGCAAGUCGUCAUGUUCAAAUGGUAAUAGCCACCCAACGAGUCCAUGUGUGUUAACGGGAUCUACUUCCAGUCGCCUGUUAUGAUUAGAGAGAUUCUUCAAGCAAAUGAGUAGAUAACAUCUUGUGACAUAGUAUUAUGGUUGCCUUUGCUAUUGACUCGAGUACUUGGGCUAGUCUGUUAUGCCAUCUCAGUCAUUCAUCAGACCAAAGGGCCACUCGAAAGUGUACCGGUACACAUCCUACGAAAAUGCAAACCCGAGGCUCGGGUUCGAAAUUCGCCGCAAGUGUACCGGUACAACCAUCAGAAGUGUACCGGUACAAAAUGUGUACCGGUACAGCCAUCGACCUGUCACCGGUUACACCUCGUGCAGAAUGCAAUCCGAGGGUAGGCUAAGUCCAACUCUUUAGUGACCUUAGCGCUACAUAAAAUACUACAAUUCUCGGGAUUCGAACCAUAGGUCGGAACACUGUCAACGACCCACCAGAAAAUCUGGAAAAGCUCAGGACACAGUCCAAACACUCGAACCUCGCAAUUUGUAAAGGUCCAGUGUGUUACAAGAGGAGUGUUGGGUAUAUUACAUGUUGUAAUAUUUGCAACUAAGCCACCCAAAAACUCUUAUAUGCAACAGACCUUAUUGUUACAGCCAAACCAAAGUGUACCGGUACACGGGCUGCUGUCAUCGGUAACACGAUUACACAGAGGCAAACCCGAGAGCAGCCUCCUCGGAUUUUACCAAAGUGUACCAGUACAAACCAGGGGUGUACUGGUACACUUCUGCGAAAACUUAAACCCGAGAGCAGCUUCCUCUCGCGUUGCUGGUCUGUACCGGUUACAACUCGAUGGUUGUACCGGUACACAUGCUCCAGAAUGCAGUUUUAGUUCCGAUUCGACUCUACUUCGCGCCGGUCGAUGCUAAAACUUUUCUAAUCUCUCUUAAACUCAUUUUUAACCCUUCCAUUAUUGUUGGAAUGCUAAAUGCAACUUGUCCAUCUAUCUCUUUCGCAUACUUUAGUUAAUUUGGUUAAAGUUCGAUAAUCGUUCUCGAGAUUUCAAUAUGUUACAAGUAACCUUUUUCUCUCUCUAAUUCUAGGAUUUGUAAAGAUUUGGAUCGAAUUUCUAGUUUUAUAAAAAUUACGGUUUAAUUUGGAGAUUUACAAAUGAUGAUUUUUCGGAUGAAAUUGGUGACUGUAGAACACUCUUAUAAAUUGGAUUUGGAAUCCCGAUGCCUUAAUUAAAAUUGGAGAUUACAGUUUAAUUUGGAGAUUUACAGUUUAAAUUGGAACACUCUUAUAAAAAUUACAGUUUAAUUUGGAGAUUUACAAAUGAUGAUUUUUCGGAUGAAAUUGGUGACUGUAGAACACUCUUAUAAAUUGGAUUGGGAAUUCCGAUACCUUAAUUAAAAUUGCUACCUUUUUUUAUCAUUGGAUGUUUAGAGUUUAAUGUAGGGGUGUAAACGAGCCGAACACGACCGAGCUGGGGUCAGCUCGUGUUCGCUCGUUUAAUAAACGAGCCAAGCCAAACACGAGCUGGCUCGUUAAAGCAUCGAGCCAAAAAAUUCAGCUCGUGUUCGGCUCGUUAAUAAACGAGCCGCACACGAGCUGGCUCACGAGCUGGCCAACGAACAAUAAGUUAAAAGGAUUAGAUUGAAUAUAUAUAAAAAAUAAAUUUAUAAAAUCUUAUCCAUUAGACUUGGAUCUAAUAGUUGAAACUUUACAUAUAAAUAAGUCUUUUUAUAAUUAAGCUUGCAUUUAUAUUUUUAAUUUGCUAAAAAUUAAAUAAUAAAAAUAUAUAUUAUAUAUAAUUAUUUAUUUAUAUAUAUAAAUAAUAAUUAAAUAAAUUAUAUAAAUAUAAAAUAUAUGUAUUCGAGCUGUUAUCGAGCCGAACAUAAGCGAGCUGACCCCAGCUCGUGUUCGGCUCGAUUAAUAAACGAGCCGAAAAAUUCGGCUCGUGUUCGGCUCGUUUAAUAAACGAGCGAUUCGAUCUCGAGCUCAUUUUGAGCCGAACACGAGCUGGCUCGCGAAACAGCGAGCUGGAUUGCCACCCUUAGUUUAAUGGUGUUAGUUGAAAUAGUAAUAACUCAAUGACAAAAAAGCAGAUAGUAAACAUUAUUGAUAUACUAUCAAUAGAAAACUAGUUCAACUUCUCUCUCUCUCUCUCUAUAUAGUAUAUAUUUAUAUGGAUGGAGCUAGAAUAUUCCUAAAAAUAUAGGAAUACUAGGAAAAUGUUUGUUACUUAUAUAUAAUGUAACACCUCAAUAGUCCCACAUCGGAUGGGAAUGAGGUUGUGUUUUGUAUAUAGGAGACCAUAGACACUAGAACUAGUAAGUGGGCUUAAGCAUUUUGAGUCGAUGGUUUUGGUCCAACGAGUUAUUGUUGCUAGUGGGUCAAGUCGUUAUAUUUUGUAUUAGAGCCGAUUAUUAGCCGGAAGUGUGUGACGAGCUUCGGCUGAGUUAAGGUUUGAAUGACCAAAUAACAGGCUAUGCCAGGGUCUGAAUGAUAAGGCUGGCGAGACAAGUCUCACAUCGCCUGUUAAUUUUGGGCGGCCUAAACGGGAAAAGUCUGUGACACCUCAAUAGUCACAAUAGUCCGACAUAGGAUGGGAAUAAAGUUGUGUUUGCAAUAUAAAAGACCAUGGACACUAGUAAUAGUAAGUGGGCUUAAGUAUUAUGGGCCGGGUCAUUAUAUUUGGUAUCAGAGCCAAUCUCCAGCCGAAAAUAUGUGAUGAGUCUUGGUUGAACCAAGCUCUGGAUGUCAAAGUUAGCGAGACAAAUCUCAUAUUACCUUGGUGAUCUUGGGCUGACAAGGAAGUCAGGGCCUAAUGGCCUAAAUGGGAGACUUAGUAACACCCCAAUAGUCCCAAAUUAGAUGAGACUGAAUGUUUGGUAUAUAAGAGACUAUGGUAUCGUUUGGUUCGGGGAUAAGCAAAAAGUGGAUAUUCCGGGGAUAGGUAUAAAUUGAGGUAUAAGCGGGGAUUAGAUGAAUUUUGCGUUUGGAUGAAAAAUUAAGUAUUCCUGAGAAUAAGAAAAAUAGCGUUUGGUUAGGUAAGAUGGGAUAAGAAUUAAAGUGAGUAUUUAUAAAUAAAAAAUAAUAAUAUUUUUUUUCUUUAUAUUAGAAUUUAAUUUUUUAUAUUUUAUAUUUAUAUUUUAAAUUUUAAAAUAUAAACUUUUAAAGUUUAAAAAUUAAAAUUAAAAUUUAAAAUUUUAAAAUCUCAAAUUUAUAAUUUUAAAAAAUUAAUUUUUAAAAUUUUGAACUUUAAUUUAAGAUGAAAUUUUAAUUUAAAAUACAAAAUAUCAUAUUCUAAAUAUAAAAAAAUUAAAAUAUCAAAUUUUAANGUCCUAUUGGGCAAUUCCCACCCUUAUCGAACAAGGGUGGGAAUCCACCUUAUCCCCACCCUUGUUGAACAAGGGUGGGGGAAAAAAAAAUUUUUUUUUUUUUAAAUUAAAAUUAAAUUAAAAUCAAAAUUUUUAAAUAUUAACCAUUAAAGUUUUAAGUUCAAAUGGAUAACCCGUUAAGGGUGGGAAUAGCUUGUUCCCACCCUUAAAUAUAGUGUUUGGGGAACAAGGAGGGGAUAACCCCUUAUCCCCACCCUUGUUUCCCAACCAAACAGGGCCUAUAGGUACUAGUAAUAACAAGUGGGGUUAAGCCCAAAGUUUAAGCCCAACCUGUCCAUAAUCAAAUAAUGUAACUUCAACAACGUAAUUUGAGUGGCAAAAUCAUUCUGGCAAAAUUAUUUGAUGUAGAACUAAGUCCUACAUCAAAUAAUGUAGAACUUGAUUGUAAUAUUUCGAAAAAUCAGAACUAAAAUUUUCAUCAAAAAAAAAGAAACAAAAACAAAAACAGAAGCUUAAGAAAUGAAAUGCCGCCAACAUAAUUUGAGUGGCAAGAGGGCAGCAUUUCUUUUUCAAAACAAAAGUUUGGCAGUCCAAAAAGUCAUUUCAUGCGCAUAUUAAACGUAUGUAUGUACGAAAGUAAGCUUUUUGAGCUUUAGAAUUUGGGUGUUUUAAGGCAAUUGCGGUCUUUAUUAAGUCAUCUGAGCAAACAAAACCUAAUAGCGGCCUCAUUACGUCGUCACAGCAAACAAAAAACAAAACUAGUCCAAGUUGAGGUUGUGAUGCUUUGGUUAUAUAUGUUUGGUUCAAAGUAAAAUUAGGACAAAAAAAAAAUUUUCGUGUUAAAAAAUUUUACAUUUUUUAACAUUUGGUAUAUGUAAGAAAAGAAAAAUCGUAUCCAGACAUGCUUGCUCGGUUGAAAAGAAAAAUUAAAUGGUAAAUAAUUUUAUAUAAUUUUUUUCGAUUUAUAUAUUAUGUAGUAUUUAUAUAAAUAACUGUCAUAUUAUAAAUGUAUUAUAAUUAAAAUAUUUAUAAAUAUAUUAUUAUUAGAGCAAUGCUUAAAUACUCCGUUGUAAUCUUAGCCGUUUAUUUUUAAUCAAUGAAGGGUUAAGAUUUAUGCAUAAAAAAAGAUGACCUACUAUUGCACAAGAAGUACAAGUCACCAGGUAUGUGAUCUAGAAAUUUUUUUGGAAAAAAAAAGAGCUAAUAUUAAAAAAUUAAAAAACUAACAUUGGAAAGUUUUGCAUACUACCCUUAAGUUUUCAGAGAGAGAGAGAGGGAUGUGCUUUGAUAUAUCUCCCCUCACUCCCCUCUAUGUUUGCUCCGUUACAUUUUUAUGGUUUUUCGGGGAGUGGAUGAGACCACAUGGCCAUGUGCCCUAGCGCAUGGCCAUGUCCUCGGUUGGGCUCUCGUUGGGCGCGCGCCGGGUCACGUCACAUGGCCAUGUGGAACUACCGACAUGGCCAUGUCGUUCGUCUUUUUGACGAUAAACGUCUAAAAGAAGCGACUUCCGACGGGAGCGCAGCGUGUCUCAGGCAAAACGCAGAUAAACCGCGGUUGCGCUGAGUCUGGACAGGGCUGUGAGAUGUCUCGACAGCUGUUCGGAGGUCUCGACUUGUGGUCCCUAGAGUGUAACUAGCUCGGCUUAUGUAUAUAUUAACAAAGGUAGUACAAUUCCUAGGCAAACCAAGUUACAUUUUAGUAUUUUUUAUUAAAAAGCAUUUUUUUUUAAAGCACGUUUUUUAAUAAAUGUAAAAUAUCACAAACCAAAAAUCCCCUUUUUUCAAAAGUUAGUUGUAAAUAAAUCAACUUUAUUUUUUUUUAGUUUAUAUAAACCAAGCCACCUUUUUUUUUACUUACUUUUAUUAAAAUACGUCGAAUUUAAAAAUAAAAGGUCGUUUUUUGACACCUUUUGUUUUUGAAGUUUAAAAAAAGUUUAGGCAUUUUAAUAAAAAUAUCCUUUUAUAAAAAUACAGCUUGGUUAAAUAUCAUAAAAAGUAUAUAUAUCUUUUAUUAAAAAGCCAAGUAAAAAUGUAGUUUCGUUUACGGGGUAACGAAAGAAGGAGUAAACAAUCUACAUUUAUUUAAAAGGCAUUUUCAUAAAAAUGCUUAAAUUUUUUUAACUUCAAAAAUAAAAGGCAAUAAAAGACCGUCUUUUGUUUUUUACAUACUUUUUUUCAGUGAAUAGGAGAGCAAGAGAAAUAUAAUUAUAUGAUAAUAUUUUAUAAUAUAAAUAUUUAUAUAUAAAUAUAUAAUAUAUAAUGAUCUAUAAUACAAUAUAUAUAUAUUUAAUAAUAUAUAAUGUAAUAUAUAUAUCAUGUUAUAUUAAAACUUAUAUAUCAUAUUAAGCUUCUACAAAUUUAAUAUUUAUAUCUAUUACUACUACUACUCUUAUUAUUAUUCUCUUUAUGAAGAUAUGUGGUCGGUUAAAUUUAGGCUGGUAAGUUAAAAACUACAAUUCUAACUGAAAAUGUGUUACCAUUGCAUGUACGAGUUGUCUAAUGGUUAGUUAGUAUUUUUAUUAUAAACUUUGAUACGUAAUCGAUUAAUGGUUUAAACUAUUAUAGGUUGUUUAGAAGUAAAGGAUUAAAUUAAAACAAUGAAUGGUUGAAUCUAUUACCGAUUAAAGUAUUCACUAUUUAGAAGUAUUUAAGUUUAAAUUUUAAAUUGAACUCAAAUUUGAAAUAUAAAUAUUAUAAAUUUAAAAUCUUUCUUUUUAAAUAUAAAUUUGUUCAUUUGUAAAGUUAAGUUUAACAGUUAAGUUAUAAUUUGAUUGUACUUUCAAGUUUUUAAUUACAAUUAUAGAAAUUUUAACAUUAAAUUAAUUCAAUAUCACAUAAAUAUUUGAAAAUAAUAAAUAAAUUUAUUUUCUAAAGAUGUAAAAUUUCAUUCAAUUUUAACAAUUAAGUUAUAACUUUUUGUUAUAAUUUAAAGUUUUUAUAACUAGUUUAAAUUUAAUAUUUAAAUCUAAAUUAAAUAUAAUAUGAAUUUUUUAUUUAAAACAAUUGAUAAAUUUGUAUUUCAAAGCUACAAACUUUUAAUUAAAAUUUAAUAUUUAAUGAUUUAAAUACUGAGUUUACGCUAGUAUUUAAUAAUAAUUUUAGCCGAAAUUUUUACCUAUUAAAUUAAUUUUUAAAUAAGAGAGGUACUANUGUAGGGAGAGAGAGAGAGACUUUUGCUGCCAUUCUCCAUCUCUCUCUCGCUCUUCCAUCCGGUUGAAGGCAAGGUGGAACUCGGGUGGAGUUUUGUCGCCGACGUCGCGCCGCGAAGCCGCUAGAGCUUGUGUUGACGCCGGGGCUUUGCGAGGAGGCCGGGCGAGCGGAGGUUUUCGCCGUCCUUGCUGUCACACAGGUACUUGGUGUUGUCGAGGUGAGUAUUCAGCAUUUCUUUGGAUUUUUGGGCAAAUUCUUACGACUUCAACUCGAGGAGAUGUUGUUUGCUGAAUUUCACCGUCGACUGUUUGUAUUUUGGCUCGUUCUCGACGUAGGAGCAUCGGAUUGCGACGAGACUUGGUUCGUUGGAUUCGGGACUGCGAGAGGAAUCCACGAAGCCCUUACUUGCGAAUUUUGGUGAAGGUUAGCUCGGUCGAAUCCCGUUUUUACUCAGCUGCUGUGGAUUUUGGACUGAAUUGAGAAAUUUUGGCGUUUUUUUAGUUUGGAGUUCGCUCGAUUUCGAGACUCGGGCAUUUUUGGUCAAUCCAGCAGGUGGUGUUGCAGCCGAGGGUGUUCCGUGCUGCCAGGGAUUAGCGAGCGAGGUGGGUUACAUCGGUUCGACUCCUAAGUUCAUAAUCGUCGACAUGUAUAUAUCUCUAUUUUAGUAAUCUAGUUUGGCUCAGAUUUUUGAAUGAUUUUAGAUUGGUAAAAUCUGAAUUCUCGAGCAUGUUUCAUAAUUUAAAUAGAUUAUACAUGUUGGACUUGAAAAUUGAAUUAGGAGAAAACCUGCGAUUUGGACCUGUCACCAGAGCGAGAGCGGAACAACAAUAGUACUCAGUGGCGCCACUGCCAAAACAAACAUCGUCACAUCACUAAUGUUCUACAGAAGGGAGGUCACAGGAUAGAAGUGAAAAGUCAGGAAGCAUAAUUCUACCGGCUAUCAUCCACAUACAACUAGCAUCCGGCUCUAAACCACUAACACAACUGCUAGUAAUGUCAAAUCUGACUACCAAUCCUAAAUCGGGACUAGGUAAGCAUAUCCGUGACCGCCGGUGACUCGUGAAUACCAACCGUCCGCCUGCCCCGUUGCGACCUAUCGGGGGCUCUAUCACAUUAUUCUACUGUCCGUGAGAGCAAGUCUCAACUGGCAUGCGCGACACCAACCUGCAAAAGCACGGAUAGCCAUAUAUGACUAGCCCAGGAGUGCACCUCGUGGCGCUCCCGCAAGCCGAGUAUGCAGCGUAUUCUGUCCGAAGCUCACAAUCAAGGCUCCAAACUAGCCAAAGUCAAGUAAAUCGACUCAAAAUGGUCUACCGCCAACAGGUAACGUGCCCCUCGCACAAAUCUGACUGCCAAAGAAGGACCAUACGUGGUCCAUCGCGUCAACUCUGACAGUAACACGCCACAAGUCCGAAAACGACACUGUAACGAAUCUGUAAAAAUCCAGCAUCUCGCGAAACCAGCACGAGUGUAAAUACAUUCUAAACUACCAUGGAGUACUCGUCUCGAAGUAAAACUGCGACAGUACAAUUUUCAACAGUCCCUAGAGCUAAAUCAGGUAGUAAANNNNNNNNNNNNNNNNNNNNNNNNNNNNNNNNNNNNNNNNNNNNNNNNNNNNNNNNNNNNNNNNNNNNNNNNNNNNNNNNNNNNNNNNNNNNNNNNNNNNCGAUAGGUAGUGUGGCAAAUGUUAACCUACUACGAUGCAUGAUAUCAUUCUACUUAGCAUGAAUAGCAAAAUAUGAAAGAACUAUGAUGCAAGUAAAUGUCUCCAACUAUCAUUGACUGUCACAGUGUUGACAUAGAAAAUUCCGUUGUUUACUAUUCUAAUCAAUGUUCAAGUUAGUUUACUAAGUCCAUCAUCUGUCCACAUGUCCAUAAUGGAUAUAUUAAAAGUCAUCUGAAGAGACCCACCGAAGGCUGUUCUGGGCCCUUGAGACCCACCGUAGGCUGUGCUGGCGGUGACGAGCUAAUGGGCCCGUGGUUAGGUUCAACCUCCCACACCUAGGAGUGAGCCUGCGCGCACUGGCAAUCCAGUUCGAGCGCCCAAUCGCCGCACGGCCGACAUAUGUUCGCGAUGGCCAUCUCCGGGAGUUGCCGCGCUUGUAGGUAGCGACCCUCACAAGGCAUGUGCGACAUGAAGCCACAAUCCAAGUAGUCAAACGAUCUGUCGCAUGUACCAAGUCCUUAUGUUAAUAAAUGGAAUGUGUCAAGUUAUCCUAUGACCUAUCCCUAUGCUCAUCACUGUUUCUACAUGGAAUAUAGCGGGUGUAUGUGGCCUAUCAUAUAUUCUAUGUUGCGUUUUCAUAGCUUACUUAGGUUAUCAAGUGCCCUUUUAUGAUCACACUAUUAUUCUCUAUGUCAAAGCGAUAUAAGUAUGUUCUCAAGUACGCAUUCUAGUCAUAAUUUCAAGGGAUGUAUUUACCACUUCUGCAAAAUUAAUGCUCUAUUUUCCACAUGAAUGCAUUCUUACUAGUAUAGCUCUACAUAUUAUAGUGUGAAAAUUUACAUAAUACACGGGCAUGCGGAUUAUAGCAGUCUUUAAAAUUCAUAUUAAAUUCCAUUUAGCAGUAGAAUAUGAACUAAAAAUAAUUUACGACAAGUAGGAAAGAGCAUAGGGCGCCAUUUCGCCACUUUCACGAAGCAAACCACCGGAUGACAACGAAACUCCUGCGUGCGACUCCAACGAGUGGUUCCUCUAGUCUCCUUAGUCCCUUAGAGGUACAAGACAUAGUGUCAUCUAGUCCAGACAACAACGACGCUAAGCCUUCAAUAUUAAGCAUAUAGGGCUAGGGUAGUACGAAAACUCACCGAUUUGGAAGAGAAGCUUCUGCACGAAUCUCAAAUGGGAGCUAGCGAUCUUCAAUUAACCUAAACAAAGGUUCUAAUCCAUCAAUUUGAUUACAAAAGGCUCCAAAACGAAAUCCCAAUUUAACCUACAAAUCCAAAUUAGGUUAGAUCUCAUGACAUAUCCAAUAAAACUCGAAUUAGAGGACGGAGAACAUGCUUGCUUUACCCUUAGAAGCCUUACAAAACAAGCUCUAAAUCUCUAUAAAUAUCCCAAGAUCAUUCGGGUCCACUUAGUCCGAAUCCAAGCUUGAGGCUUCCACUCAUGGAGGAAACCCAAAAGAGGCCAGAACAGCAAGGAGGAUGAGAUCCAAACCCACACAAAAAUCCUAUCAAAAAUGGAUGAGAAACGUCAAGGAGAGGGUAUUCUACCUUGUCCUCCUCAUGUUCUAGGGCUUCAAAGAGCAGCAUGAGGGCUGGGUGAAUAUAUAGGCGUCUGUUGCAACAAUCUGCAAAAAUCACCCUCUUACGAAGACAAGCCCAAACUGCACUGGUUACCGGUACACGGUUUGUGACCCGCGUACACUCUCACGAAAGCCAAACACGAGCCUGGGGUUUUGGUGGCUAGGAAAUGGUCUGAGUGUACGCGUACAACAACCGUACGGUACGAGCCAUCCAACCCGUACGUGUACAGCAUGCGAACCCGUAAACCGGUACGCGGCCUAGCUGGAAGGCUACCCCGAGCAGCUGACAAAUCUACUUUUUUUUGGAUUUUGUACACAGCCUUUAAACACACAAUUCUCGGGACCUUGCGAACCAGUAGUGUCGGCAAAACACUGUCAACGACCCUACCAGAAAGUCUGAAAGUUCGACACACGAUCAAGCACUCGAACCUCAGCAUUUGCAAAGUCCAGUGUGUUAACAUUCACACCUCUAAAAGGAGUUUUCAGUCGCCGAAACUCGAAACUAAAAGUAUCACUCAGGGCUCCACUGAAAAGAUGGGGAUAGCGAUCCUGCAAGCGCGCUCCUCAGCUCCAUCGUGCCCUCCCGCUCCCGUGUGCUCAAAGGACUUCACAUACGGAAUAUCCCGAGUUCCGCCAGCUGUUCCUUCACUCGCGCAGCCAACAAAAUUCUUCACGGUCGUUGCUCCUCGAAGCUCAAAUCCUCGCGCAGUUCCAAUGGUUACGGCUUCCAAACAUGAACAUUGGAUCAUUGAAUGUGAUCUCGAAGGACCGAUUACAUGAAAGAGGGUGGGGGGGGAGGAAAAACGGUUUGCGCACGCCGGAUAGGUCGUGGUUAGAGCAAGUCGAUACGCUACCGGCCUACACCGCUCCAGAUAUAAUACGGUCAAUGAAACGGAGGUGCUCAACUUUUCCCGAAUGCCGAUAUCUCUUGAUUCUCUAGUCGGCGAGCCUUCAAAGAACACUAUGAUCUCAACUUGGAAACUCCAAGUAUCGCCGUCGUUCGUCGGCGCGUAGCGUCCCUGUUCUACUGUGCCGCCGUCAAAGUUCGCUCCCGAGCAAUCAGAACCUUAUCCUCAGCCUUCCUGGACGCACAUCCAGAGGCUAGAGCCAAACUCCGCCAACUUUCGCAUCCAAUUGAAAGUUGGCGAUUACACUUUCCCGUCCAUAAAGUGUAUCGAAUGGGCGCCAUCUUGAUGCUCGGUGAUAAACUGUUGUUUAUAAAGCAAACUCCCCAUAGGUAGAUGCUGCGACCAUCCUCCCUGGAAAGUGCUUAUCACACACCGGAGCUAUCCUCUAAAAGUCUGAAUAGUGGCCUCAACUGUCAUCACUCUGCGGGUUGGAAUGCUUGCUAUGAAGUUCCAGGCGGUGCCUAGGGCGGUCCGCAGACUCCCCAAAAGUGAGACACAAACGGUGGUUGUCUCGAUCAAGAUACAAUCGAUGUAGGCAUCCAUGAAGUCUGACAAUCUCAUUCAAGGUACAUUGUGCGAGUUCUCUCCUGGUCAAGUCGUAUGAAUAGGUCAUGAAGUGCGUGACUUCAGUCAGUCCCUAUCCACGAUCACCACAAAUUAGCCGGUUUACUGCCCGCUGUGCAAGGCGGCGAUAUUCAUGUCACAAAAUCCGAUGGUGAUUUCUCCCUAUUCCACACGGAAUAGGUAAACUCUGACAGUUUUCCAGCGGGACUCCGGUGCUCAGCCAUUUACUAUGUUUUGCAAGUUAAGCAUUCUAGCCGAUAAACUCGCCAAAUUCUUUUUCUAUCCAGGCCACAAAGAAGCAACUUUAAAUCCUUAUAACAUUUUGUUUGAUCCCGGCAUGUAUAGCAUACGGCGCUCGGUGCCGCUUGUUCCUUGAAAAGAAUAUCUUGCUUAAUCCCCGCAUCCGCAGGUACACAUUUAUCGCCACGGGAAACGCAUCAAUCUAUUGAUCAUCAACAGGAAGUCGUGCGUAACACCGAUCAACAUCUUUACCUCUAAAUCUCUUUGCAACUUCACAUCGGAAGCUGCUUUCUUUGAUUCUUUCCAAUAACAGUAGGUGUAUCAGUCAAUCUCGCAAUAGGUUUAUAGGAGUCACUAUCUCAACUGCCAACCGCUUCACUGCUUCGAAUCAAAUGGCGGUUGAGUCACAACAUGCAUCGCUAAGUUUUCCGUCGAUUUGUCUACUUAGCAUCGCCACACGUUAGCCUUGCCCGGGGGGUGGUAAAGAAUCGUCAGAUCAUAUCUGCAGCGCUACCAACAUUGCGCUGUGUCUCAGGUUAAAACUCCUUCUGAAGUAAAACAGGUACUUUAGCCUUUGGAUCCGUGAUAUACUUCACACAAUCGGCCAUAAAGAUAGUGGGCCAUAGCUUCAAUGCGAACAACUACAGCCGCCAAUUACAAAUCAUGCGUGGGUAGUUUUUAUAUUCCUUUGAAGUUGGCGGAGAGCAUACGCGGAUCACCUUGCCAUCGUGCAUCAAUACACAGCCCAAACCAUUAAUGAAGGCAUCACUAAUGAACCACAACCUGCUCCAGCUACUGGUAGGUCAAGAUUGGGCAGUCGCUCAAUCGUCUGCUUAACUUCUUGGAAACUAUUCGCGGUCGCACGCGAUCGAUCAAAUGAACUUAAGACACUUUAUGGGUGCCGCUGUGAGGGAGAGUAGAAAGGUUUAGCAAACCCUCUACAAAUCUCCGUAGUAAACAGGCCAAUCAAGGAAGCUCCGUAUCCGUCGUGACGGCUCCGCCGGGCCUCGGCACUCUGAUUGUUUAUCUUCUUGGGACUCCUGCGGCCUACUACUACCAUUGAUCCUGAAUAUCAAAGUGUCCAAGGAAGGCUACCUCUCGAGCCAAAAUUCACAUUUCUUCAACUUAGCAUAGAAAGCUCCUUUUCCGAAGCACAUUGGGAGUAUCAAUCCUCAAAUGCUCCUGGUGAAUCUGCUCAUCUCGAGAGUAGACCCAAAUGAUCGUCGAUGAACACGACGAACAUGUCUAGGUAAGCUUGAAAACACGGUUUCAAUAGAUCCAUAAAAGCUGCCGGAGCAUUAGGUAAGCCCAAUACGGCAUACUGUUGAACUCAUAGUGUCCAUCGUGUUCAUAAAGAGCCGUCUUGACACAUCUCAGGGCCUUGAUCUUAAACUGGUGGUAUCCCGAUGACAAGGUCUAUCUUGAAUACACACACUCUGAAGAUGAUGCAACAUGUCGUCGCAUUACUCGGAACGGAAUACUUGGUACCAAACCCCCAGCAACAGCAGAAAAAAUACACAAAAAAAGUUGAUCGCUGACACUUAUUAAGUUCACGAUAAUCCACGCAAGGCGAAGUCGAAUCCGUAUUUUGUCUUGACGAACUAGGUGCUCCCCAAAAACGGUGAAAACUUCGGUCGAAUGAAGCCUUGUUCAAAAAUCUGUGAUUGUGCCCUCAGCGUCCUUCAGCUCAUGCCGGCCAUCCCUAUAGGGUAGCCUUUGAGUUGGGGUAGUCAGGGACAAGAGACUUUCUAUCACAAAUCAUAUCUCCCUUAUCAGGAAGAUUACCGGUAGCCUCAGCUGGAAACACAUACAGGAAUUGCCGCAACCACCGGUCUCCUCCAAGAUCCUAGGCGGCGUCAUUAUCGCAACAACAAAAUCAGCACAACACUAAGCCAAAAUAAGGUAAAACAACCUACUACUAAUCAGCUAGCUAGGACGGAUGUGGAUCGUUAUUCGACAAACAGCAACUCAGGCAUCAUCAAAUAACACCUCGUCUGCCACGGUUCUCUAAUAAGUAACCAGGUUGCGGAUUCUUGACAAUCUAAUCGAAUGGCUAAUAUUGCGUAAACACAAUCCUGCCAAGACCCACCAUAAAAAUCACCAAGCUUGCGCUAAGACAGCUAGCAAAUUAUAGGCAGUGAUCCAUGCUCCUACGCGAAAGGUAGGGCAAACUGGGGCUAUACUCUCUAAUAUUCCAAAAUGUGGGUACAGGGUAAUACAUGUCCGAUAUGCAACAAAGAAACCAACGGAGAUGCAUUUGCACUCGGCAACUCGCGUCUAUAAAAUGAAUUGCGAUACACAGUAUCAAAAAAAGCCAGAACUAAUGCAUCAAGUAAUGUACUGCAAACCAAUACCUUUCAUUAUCGCCUUUCUACUUUUAUUGUCACUGACAUCUUUUGUAGCUUUGGGCCUUGUGGUGCAUUCACUGAAGUCAGUAAUUGCCCACUGGGAACUAUUUUUAAUAGUUCUCAUGCCCCUGUUUUGUGGUUUACUUUUCAGAGCCUUCGGCACCGGCGGAGGCACGGGAUCGCGGCAAGGGGAUCGCUUAGAUAGCUAGCGAGGAGCGGUACCUUGCCUAGGUGGUUUGCUCAUCCUUUUUGUAGUUGAGAGAGAGUGAGAGUUUUUGUAUCCAUGUAUAGAGACCACCUAUGUACCCACUUUUAACUCUUGUAUUUGGGAUUUCCAUUGUACUCGCUUUAUGUUUUAUUUAGUGGUUUUACAGUUUUAUCCAUAUCUCUUGUUGUAGCUAUUAGACAUUUACUAUGCUCUGAUAUUCCUGGAUGUCUUUUAUUAUUGCUUUUAUUAUCGUUGUUUUUAGACGCCUUAUAUGUUGUAGACAUAUGGCGGGUCUGGACACGCGCCGGGCGGGCUUCCGCUGGGUCCCGGGGCGUGACACCUUAUUCCUCUUCUUUUCCUUUCUUCUUCUUGUCUUCUUCUUCUCCUUCUUGUCUUCUAGAGAGAGAAAGAGAGAUGAGAGGGGGAGUGUGAGGGAGAGAAUGAGAGGAAAAGCCCUCAAAGCCCUCCACUUAACCAUUAGGUUGCACAAAUGCAAUAGGCCCCUCAACUUUCACUUUAUUGAACUGCUUGAAUUGGACAGUUUUCGAGUUCGGGGACCGGUCUCCCCGACUUGGGACCGGUCCUAGAGAGCUCUCCCGCAGCUCAAUGAGGGCUUUCGCACGAGGCAAACGGUCUCUCCCUGGGAGACCGGUCUCUCGGGGACCAGUCUCUCCCCACAAGGACCGGUUCCCAAGAGCUGGUUUUCUGAGGACUUAGCCAAUUUUUCAGCUUUGUCAGUUUUCACGCAUUCGGCGACCGGUCUCUCCCACCAGGGACCAGUCCCCGAGAGCUCAAAAACUGCAGUUUGCAUAUUUUUGAUUCUUAAGCUCUCGAAAACCUCCCAUAACGCACUUUUGAUCAUUUUAACACCUUCGAACUUUUCGAAGUGUACCAUCCUCGCACUUUGGUCAACUUGACUAAAGUUCGAUAUUUAUUUUCCGAAUUUUCGGUAUAUUACACAUCUACUACUUUCCAUGUUUUAGACAUGAUGACAUAGAGAUAGGCCUACAAGAAAGUUGUGACGUAUUCCAUGUUGUUAGACAUGAGGACUUGGUACUUGAGACGGAUCUUUUGUUACUUGCCAUUGUGCUCAUUCGCACAUGCUUGUGAGGGUCGAUUCCUACAAGCUGGCACUCCGGAGAUGGCCAUCGCGAUACAUAUUCGCCGUGCGAGAUUGGGCACCGAAGUGGAUUGUCGUGGGAAAGGCUCAUUCCUAGAGUGAGGAUGUUCACUACCACGGGGCCAUUAGGCUCGGCACCGGCCAGACAGCCUACGGGUAGGUCUCAGGGCCAGACUAUCUCCCCCUUUGGCAAUUUCGUGACAAAACUCACACAAACUCAAAAAUUACAAUUUAAAGAGAAAACGAAGUUCAAUGUCAUCACCAAAACAUCGAACCCCUCGCGUGUAAUCCAAAUACAAUAUGAAACUCAGAAUUACAUCAAAACUCCUAAAACAGACUCUAUGACUUAGACGCAACUAGGAGUCUUGAAGUCUUGAAAUCCUGCAAAACAAAUCACUCAAAAAUGAUUAGCCUUAAAUUCUUAUACCUUCUCCUCCAAUGUUCACAUCUCCCCCUUUGUUCUUGAAUUCAUCAUCCUCAGCUCCAGUUUAAUGCCUGUUUAUCUAUGGCUCUCCGCCCUUAUCCGAAUCCACGAACGCCUUUGUUCACGCCGAAUCCACGACGCGUUCAUGAAGAGCAUCAUGAUUAUGGUGAUCCUUCGCUUAGGAGUAUCGUAGAAAACAGAGAAAGAAACUCCAAACAAAGCGGAGAUCAAAUCGUCAUAUAGAUAUCAAAUUACAAUAUUCGAUUUGACCUAAAAGAGGCUAAUAUGUAGAAAAUAGGUUUAGAUGAAAUCCAAGCCUCUAGGUUUCUAAAUAUGUAUUUUCGUGAUGCUUGAUCUGUUAGAGAACCCAUAGCUUAUUUAUAGACUUUAGAAUCAAUCGGAGUCGAAUUAGAAAGUUUUCACGGUUUUACACUGUGUACCGGUACACGAAAGGCUGUCACCGGUUACACAAGGACGGAACAGAAAUACGAAGCCAAGUCAGUGGCUGUACCGGUACGCUCUUGAUUGCUGUACCGGUACACAAUGCAAUUUUUGGGAUUUUGCAUUGUUUCGAGUUCCGUACACUUCCGAAGCACUUUCUAAUCAACUAUACUUUUGAUUAAAUGAUUCUAAUGCCUAUAACUAAGUAUGAAUCACCAUAACAUGAAUUUAAAACUUUACCUGAGCAUCGUGAUUCAUAUCGUGAGUUAUUUUCCAACUUCUUCGAAAUCUUGAAUUCUUCGAUCUUCGACGAUAUGUACCGGUUCUUCAAGACUCCGACUCACUUCACGAAACUUGCCAAUACAAAAUCCUUAACACAGACAACCUUCGGGCGGGUCUCUUCAGAUUUGAUUUUGAGCAUUCAUCAUGCCAUGUAGAUAUUGAUUCGAAUAGUAAACAAUGACAUCUUUACUAUUUGAUUCAAGGACAUCAUACUAGCGAUGCUUGGGUACAUUCAUACGAGAAUAGCUUUUCUUACUUAUGCUAAAUCAUGCUAAGUAGAGAUAUCAUGUGGUAGCAAUAUUCAUGCUUAUUUACUUGUCGUACUUAUCGUUUUUGUUUAUUUUUGCUUAUUGACCCCUUUUUAGUUUGGGCCUAGUGGUGCAUUUCACUGAAGCCAGUAAUUGCCCACUGGGAAUUAUUAUUCAAUAGUUCUCACGCCCCCUGCUUUAUGGUUUUAUUUCAGAGCCUUCGGCACCGGUGGAGACACGGGAUCGCGGCAAGGGAGUCGCGUAGCUAGUUAGCGGGGAGCUACUUUUGAGCUUAGGUGGCUUACUCUUUCUUUUAUUGUAUUAGAGAGAGAGAGAUUUUGAGUACCAUGUAUAGAGAGACCACCUAUAUACUCUUUAUGCUUAGCUUUUGUAUUUGGGAUUUCCUUGGUGCUACUUUAUGGCUUUAUUAGUGGAUUUCAGUUUUAUACUUAUCCCUCUGUUGUAGAACAUAGUCAUUUACUUUGCUCUGAUAUCGUUAGAUCCUUUGUUCUACUACUUAAUUUAUUGUUUUGUUGUAGACGCCUUGUAUGUUAUAUACAUAUGGCGGGUCUGGGCACGCGCCGGGCGGGCUUCCGCUGGGUCCUGGGGCGUGACAUCAAUAUAAAGAACUUAGACAUAAAAAAAGCCCGGUUGCUUCAGGAUUGACACCCCCUACCUUUUGGUGAUGUCUUGAAGCUACGAGUCCGUUUCCAAGAUUUUUGGAAGCUUACGUCACAAGCUACGAUAAUCUAUACCUCUACGGCUUAUUUCCUCAAUAUCUUCACGUAGCCUCGACGAAUACUCAAACCGAGUGCACGAACGCGUUCGGGGACCUAACAAUUAGGUUAGAGAAGGGUCAAUUGAGAUCAAAACCCCUCAGAAGAAAAUUUUCUCUUUUGGAUGCCCUAGAAGCCCCAAUAUUGCAAUAGCUCUAUUCUAGCAUUUAUUCUUGCAAUCAAUGAGUUUCAUUACUUUUAGAGGUCUAUUAGAGUCCAUCUAGCUAGGUUCUAACACUCCGUUUGGCUCAGGUAUAAAGGGGGCGAUAAGGGGGAUAUCCCCCCCUUUAUACCCAAACAAAAAAAAGUGAUGGUUGGAACAAGUGUUCCCACCAUAACGGGUUGUACCAGGUACAACUCGUUAUGGGUGGGAACAAGUGUUCCCACCCGUGGUUGGAACAAGCUUGUUCCCAAGCUUGUUCCAACCUACUUGAGUAAAGAGAGAGAGAGAGAGAGAGAGACAGAGAGAGAGAGAGAGAGAGAGAGAGAGAUUUUUAUUUUAAAUUUAAAUAUAAAUUUUUAAAAUUUAUAAUUUUUAUAAUUAUAAUUAAUAAAUUAAAAUUUUAAAUUUUAUUAAAGUUUAAAUUUUAAAUUUGAUAUUUUAAAUUUGAUAUUUUUAGUUUUCAAAUUUUAAAUUUGUUAUUUUAUAUCUUUGAAAUUUAAAUUUGGUCUGAAAUUUAAAAUUUAAUAUUUAAAAUUUAAAUUUUUAAUAUUAAAAUUUAAAUUUUAAAAUUUUAAUUUAAAUUUAAAAGUUAAAAUUUUAAAUUUAAAAUUAUAAGUUUAAAAUUCAAUUAUAGGGAUAAUAUUAUUAUUUUCUAUUUAUAACUACCAACUAUUCCUCUUAUUCCCAAAAACCAUCCAAACACAAUUUUUCUACUUCCAGAUUAUACUCACAAUUUCAUCCAAACAAAAAAAUACCCUUGUUCCUACAAAAACCCAUACUUGUACCUAUCCCCGGUAUAACUAGUUCCUACUAAUUCCCGAUCCAAAUGGAGGAGAUCAAAGCAAACCCUAAGCUACUUGCCAUGAAAGAGGGUUGAAGUUUACCUCCACUAGCUAGACCAAAGAGAGGAAGAAGAGGUGAGGAAGAUGGUAGCUCUCCUCUUGAUCUUCUUCUUCUCCUUCUUUUUUUUCCUAGAAAGAGAAAGAGUGGUGUGUGUGGGUGAGAGUGUUGGAGGGAAUGAGGGAAAGAGAGAGGGGAAAUGCCCACUUAACCCCUCUCAUGCUACAAUAGCAUAUAAACCCCUCCACUUUGCCUCUUAUGCACUGCCCAGACUGGGCAGAUUCACAUGCGGGGACCGGUCCCUCAACCGAAGGACCGGUCCCCGAGAGCUGCCUCACACGCAGAGCCAUAGGGCGAGCCCUUUCACGCGCACGGGGACCGGUCUCUCCCACCAGGGACCGAUCCCCGAGAGCUGAACUCUCAGGACUUAGCCGAUUUUCUCUUCUUUUCGCUGGCUACGCGUACGGGGACCGGUUUUCACCUGAGGGACCGGAACUUCAUGGACCGGUCCCCUUUCCAGGGACCGGACCCCGAGAGCAAAUAUCGCGCGCAGAACAUCUCUGCCACCCACACUGCUUACGGGGACCGAUCUCUCCCACCAGGGACCGGUCCCUGAGAGCAGAAUCUGCCAGAUGCAGAUUGUCAUCAAUUUGCUCUCCGAGAUCCAACUUUAAUGCACUUUUGGUGCUUUUGACUUCUUCGGCUUUUCCGAAGCAUACCAACACGACUCUUGGUCGAUUUUAAACGAAGUCCAAUUCUCAUAUUUCGAGAAUUCACUUCUUUACAGUAGGGAUUUGAGUUGGUGAGUUUUGGGGCUAAACCUACGGGUUAGCCGAGAGAAUUGGGUAUCAAGAAUGGCAAUCGACAUGCAUCAUGAGCAUCAUAUAUAUUGGUUAUCAUUCUUGUUCGAGCAUAGUAGCUGUAUUUGUUUAGAAAUGAUUAUCUAUCUAUCUAUUCUUCUACUUAUGCCUGGUUAGGCCUAGUGGGAAAGUCGGCGGGGUCGGCGGUCGAACCCACUGGGAACUUUCUUGUAGUUCUCACCCCACUAUUUUUUAGGUCCGGAUCCGAGUGAGGCGGUUGAGGAUUGUGGCAAGGGCAUUGUAACAUACCAGAUUUUGGUAUAAAGAUAAAAAUAAAUAAAAAUAGUGUGAGAAAAUAUUUUUAUUGGAUUUGUAGAAGUAAAACAUAAGUCAGAAGUAAUUUGUGCUGAAAUCGGAAUGAAAACAGAAGAUUUAGAAUUUUCUGUUGGAAACGGGACAGAUAAAUUAGCAGAAAAUGCACAGUCUCAGAAAAUUAUGAAAAUUGGAGGAUAAGUCAGAAAUAUUUUUAUGAGGCUAGAUUUAAAGUUUCAUAUUUUUCUGACACCCGUAGAGUGAGAAAUAAAAUCCGACGGCUAUCUGAUAAAGAUUACAGUUCGGUACAGUUUUCGGUGACCAAAUGGGGUCGAAACUGAAAACUUAAAAUAUAUUCUUACUCAGUACGUAAAACCAAACAUGACUGUCAAGUUUGAGCUCAAACGGACAUUCAGGGAGCUCCGGCGAAAGUUAUCAAAUUUCAAGCUGCCUGGAGUGAAUAGUGUUUGAGGGGUAUUAUAAAGAAGCUGAUGCUUCUUCUCCCUCAACCGUGCGCCACACACACACCCGCACGCCACACACGCACACACGCUUGGAGAGGGAAAGAGAGAACCCACCCAUUUUCUCUCUAAAUCUCUCCCAAAAUUGAAGGUUUUGGUGGAGAAGCAAGCUUGAAAGUUGAUCUUCAUCUUCUUCGUCUUCUUCCUCUCCAUUGGGGCUAGCUUUGAAGGUAAGCUUCAAACCCUUUAAUGGAAUUUCUCUCUAGUUUGGUUUUUAAGCUCUAGGAAUGGGUUUAGAGGUAUUCUAGCAUGCUAAUUAGGUUUGAUGCUUGAAACCGAGGCGCUAAUGGUGGAUUUUUACCUAGUUGUAAUUUAGGGCUCAAAACUGCUAGUUUUGUAAAUAUGAGGGUUUGAUCUCAUUUGACCCUCUGUAAACCUAAUUGCUAGGUAAACGAACGCGUUGGCGAAGUCGGUUCGGCGAUUCGUCGAGCCGUUGCGAAGUUAUUAAAGAAACGGACGUUUAGGCUUCGUUUUCGCCUGGAGGGCCGAGGCGACAUCGUAAACCCAUGGAAACGGAUUUGAAGCAUCGUGGCACAUAACCGAAGACCUUUAAUUUUCGGAUCGUGAAUUGGAGGCCGUUUGGGUGGUCGCGCGAGAGAUCGGGCCAAACCGGGUGCCGGGUGCCGUGGGAGGCCGAUUGCAAGUGUCGACAAGCAAUCGGAAAGCGAUUUGAGGUGGGUUGUGCUUACCGAAGCGACUAGGUCGCCUGUAUGUCUAAGAGAAAUAAGAUUUCAUAUUGAUGCAUGUUGACAUAUAAUGUGAAAUGCUAAAGGAAUGCAUAUUGACAUAAUGUAAGAAUGUGAAAAGAAAUAUGUUAACAUAUUAUAGAAUGCUAGAUAAAUGCAUGUGAUUAAUGAUUUGAAUGCAUAAGAUAAAGGGCAUAUGGAUGUUAACAUUAUAAGAAUAUGCUUAAAGAAAUGCAUAAUGACAUGUUGUAGAGCAUGCAUGUGGAUAAUGCUAAGUAAUGGUAUGAUAAGCAUGAUAUAGAAAUAAUGAAUGCAAGUAUGUGGUUAAUGUUAAGAAAUGGAAAUGUGCAUAUGGACAAUCUAUAUACUUUAGAUCGAGUGGCACUAAACCUAGAGUCAUGGACAUAGGUUAAACAUGGAAGAUAUGAACCUAGUGUCUUGAACAUAGGUUGAACAAGUAUAGUGUGAACCUAGUGUCAUGAACCUAGUAAACACUUGUGGCAUUUGAGCAUAUCUAUUUUGUACCAUUCAUGCAUGAUAGGGCUAAGUACAUGUGAACCUUGAUUGCUUUCAAUGACAUGUUUCUAACGAAGUUGAACAUAGAGAAAGGUAGAACCAUAAUGGACAUGUAUGUUAGGACCCUAUUAUUGUAUGAAUAUGAGAGUUGGACUUGGACAUUAGUGAACAAAGGUGACAUGGACAAUAGAGACAUUGAUUGGCAUAGAGAACACAGUUGUUAAACAUAGUUUAACCAAGAGUGGCAUUGAGACAAGAAUGACCUAGAGAGCGGCAUGAAUAAAUAGGUAGAAAACCUAUCAUGAUUGUGGCAUUUGUGGCAUUGUGGCUUAUGGCUAUACAUUCCCAAAUUGGGAAUCGGAUCAUACUCACAUUGAGUCUUGGCUUGAGGGAGGUCGCUCCUCCUCAAGCGGUGUGUUUUCGGAAAUCGACACCACAGGGAGCGAGGUCCCUGAAGACAGUCCCUAGGGGUGGUUCGAGGCCCCCUGCUUUGACGGGUUUUGGGUUGUGAGUUCGAGGGGAACUGGGUGAACCUCGAUGCAAUUGGGUAAAAGCCAAGUGAAUGUACAUUAAUCGUUAUGAGCUAUAGAUUGAGUAUCCCUGUCGAGUGGAUUUGGGGCUGAGGUGUAUGUGAGACGUCCAUUACCUCGAGCCUGGUAUUGGUGCGGUAUUCCGCAGUUGAUUGAUUCGAGACCGAGUCGGGUGGUUAGCUUGGCUAGGGUAGAGGAAAACCUUAGAAGCAAAUAACCAACGAUGUAAAGUGACAAGCUGUAUAAAUUAUGAAAAAGCUAUGGAUAGCAUGAUAGAAAGUUAAAUCAUUUAUUCUACUUGUAUAGUUGCAUGAUUCGCAUAUAGCAUGGCAUUAUUGCAUUCGUGAGGCAAGGCAUGGUUUUAUUAGUUGCAUAAUAAAGAUAUAUAUCUAUCUGUUUAUUGAACUAACUUGCAGUUGCCUCCCUUGGACCUAUUGGUCGAGCUUUUCCCUUGGGUGGCCGUACCCACUGGGAACCAUGGAGUUGGUUCUCACCCCACGUGGUUUUGGGGUGUUACAGGUUCACACGUGAGCGGCGCGGCGGCGCGAGGCGAGGGCGUAGCAUCAUAAUUAGCGCCCUACCACCGAGACCAGAGAUAGCGGUACCCCGAGUCGGUUACUUAGGGAUGUAAAGAAUGAAAAGAAUCAAGUUGUAAUAAUCAUGUUAAAUCGGAUUGUAUUUGGAAGUUAAGUGAAAGCUAAUGUAAGAAUCAAAUGAGAAUUGUGAUGUAAAAAUAUAUGAAUGUGAAUGCAUGUAAUAACAUAGGAUGUGUUAUGUUUGAAUACUUCCCUAUGCAAUCUUUGAUUGAAAUGUGUUCCUAGUUGGAACUUCGCACAUUGUAUUGAUUGCUAUGCCUUGAACGUACAGGGGAGACUCUGUCCGCAGUACAGGAAAAACCCUGUCCAUUCGGCGAUCUGUUGGCGGCGCCGCGACCCGGCCAAAUAGGCGGGCGGUCGCGUGGCCUGACAGGCAUAGCGCCCUAGGUAGCUGACACCCGUGCAUUAGUGGCACCCUUAUGCCAUCUUUUGGUUAUGAUGAAAGGUGUAAUGAGAUAAUGAUGUAUAAAUGUAUUUUGGCAAAAGUGAAUGUAAAUUAUUAUAUCCUUAUAUUUGAUUUCAUGUAAUCAAGAUAUAUGUAUGAAUGUGACGAUAGUUGUAGAACUUUCACUUAUUGGUUGUUGCUUGCCUUCGUGCAAGUCAUAUAUAUCUAAGUUUAUGCUUACGCAAAUUGUAUAUAUGUCGAUACUUGUGUUGAGCCUUGGGCGGAGAGGGGAGGUGUUGUCCGUCCGGUGUCUAUUGAUGUGCCCGAACCGACCAAAUUGGCGGCCUCGGGGUGUGACACGAGUCCUACUUUAAGUUAGAGGGAAGUUAGAGGGCAGGCCAACAAGACUGCGCUACGUAGCUUUCUCUGCCAAUAACAUUCGAGCUAGUAAGAUAAAGUGGAAUUAGUGUCACGCCCCGAGCUCCGCCUAUUUGGUCGGAUUCGUGCACACCAACAGACCGCCGAACGGACAGGGUUUCCCCUGUACCACAAACAGAGUUUUUCCUGUACGUCCAAGGCGUCACAAUCCAUACAAUACGCAAGGUUCCAACCAGGAACAGUAUUCAAGCAAGGAUUGCAUAAGGAAGUAUCAAAAAUAUAAAUACAACGAUGCUAUUACAAGUAUUCAACUCACUUGCAAUUUUUCCUUACAUUUUCUUUUAUAUUCAACUUCCAAAUACAAUCAUUCAUUAUUACAAGUUUGUUUCUUUCAUCUCUAUACCCCUAAGCUAGACCACCUCGGGGUACUACUAUCUCUGGUCAGAAGGGUAGGGCGCUAUCUACGGAGCUAUGCUCUUUGCUCACCCCGCCGCGCCGCUCGCGUGUGAACCUAAAAUCCCCCAAAACAACGUGGGGUGAGAACUAUAUAAAUAUAGUUCCCAGUGGGUACGGCCACCCAAGGUAAGAGUUCGACCCACCAGGUCCAAAAAAGGCACUGCAAACAUGUUAGUCCAACAGAUAUCCUCAUAUAUAUCAUCAUAUAAUUCAUGCAACCAACAUUUAUCAUCUUCAUGCCUCUCAACAUGCGACAAUGCAAAUCAUGCAACUCAACAUGCAUCAAUGUACGUCAUGCAACUUAACGUGCAAUAAUGUAAGUAAAUCUACUAAUUCUACUUCUAUCUUGCUAUCUACAGCUCGUCCAACUGAUUUCUUAGAUUUCUUCUAUCUUAGAUUCAUAUCAUUCACAAUUUGCUCAUAAGGUUUCAUCUACCUUUACCAAGCUAUCCACCCGACUCGGUCUUGAAUCAAUCAUCUGCGGAAUACCAUGUACAGCCAGGCUCGAGGUGAAGGACGUCUUACAUGCACCUCAGCAUUAAAUCCACUCAACUGGGAUGCCAACUGGGAUGCAAAUCCACUCUACUAGGAUUCAUCCAUAGCUCAUAAUGCAUGUCAACCCAAUCUCGCUGGCUAACCGAAAGGUUAAGCCCCGACUCACAGUGCAAUCCCAUAGGUGAGGAGACCUUCCCGCUCGCACACCGAGACUGUCUGCUAUGUAAGUACAUCGUUAACCCAUCGUGUGAAAACUCCGGAGCUCACUGCUUGGGUGGAGUGGCCACGCCAAGCUAGAACAGACUAUAUGAGUAUGAUCCAAUCCUCUCAACUCGAGGAUACUCUACUAACUAGGGAUAACAACAAACUCGGGAAAUCACCUAUCCCUAUUGUAACGUAUCACUUCCCUGUAAACCGUGCCGAGUUCCGUCGAAAUGUGCGAAACGUGGAGUGGAACGAGUUGAUAUAGGUUAAAAGUGCAUUGGAACCUAUAUAUAGUGUAAAGGGACCCGAGAGAGUGAAAUUAUAAAAUCUUGCUAAGUGCUAGAUUUUGGGCUCUCGGGGACCGGUCCCUGAAGGAGAGACCGGUCCCUGCACACGCAGCCAGAGAAAAGAGAGAAAAAUUGGCUAAGUCCUGGAAAAACAGCUCUUGGGAACCGGUCCCUAUGGCGAGAGACCGGUCCCCGAGGGACCGGUUGCAUCAGGUGAGAUCGGUCCUAUCCUGCGUAGGCUGCGGCAGUGCUCUCGGGAACCGGUCCCUUGCUCGAGAGACCGGUCCCCGAGCCCGAGAUUUGCCCAGUGAGGGCUGAAGUGAAAAAUGGAUAGUUCAGGGGUUGAAGUGCAAAAGUGGCAUGUGUUGGGUAUAUGUGUGUGAGGGAUGAGUGUUAGGGCUCAUUCUCUCCCACACCAACAAAACAUAUGCCCCCUCUCUAUCUCUCUAAAAACCCUUCUCCUCUCUCUUCCUCUCUCUCUAGGGCUUGGACCAAGGUGGGAUUUGGAGGACUUGGGUGGAGAAGAAGAACAAGUUGAAGGUGUAGCUUGCAAGAGUGCAAGAGUUUAAGGAAAAGCUUGGACUCCGAGGUGAGUUUCCAUGAUAUCAAGUUAGGGCCUUGGUUUAUUAGCUUCUAGUAUGCAUCUAGGAGCUUCUAUAGAGGAUUUCCCACAUUGUAUCCAUGCUAGGGACCUUGUUGGGGAAGAUGACAUUGUUAAGGGACCCAAAGUUGGGGUUUUGUAAUUUUGAGGUUCAAUCUUGGGAUUGAUCUAAUCCUAACCUAAUUGAUAGGUCGACGAACGCAUCGGUGCGCUCGGUUCGGUGAUACGACGAGCGUGCACGAAGAUAUUGGAAAAAGAAGCUGAAUUAGUACAGAUUGCCGCAGCUCGUGGCAAAAGCGUCUAGAAAUUGUGGAAAAUUGCUUUCCGGCAUCCUUGUAAUAUUAAAAGGUGGGGGGUGCUAUCCGGAAACACCGAAUCUCUUUCUAUGUCUAUAUCCCUUUUUUUUUUUUGAGCAUAUUGCUAAUGUACAUUCAUGCAUGUAGGGUAGUAAAUGAAAUAUGGUUGGUUUCAUUCAAUUAUCUGUGUAAAGAUUAUUGUGAAUAGGUAAAGAACCAUGUGAAACAUAUGAGAAUGUAGAGACCCUAUGUGCAUGUGAAUGCGAGAAAGGACUUGGACAAUAGUAAACAAAGGUGACAUUGACAUUAGUGACCAGAUUGGCACCGAGAUUGUUAAUGACUAAACAAGGUUUAGCUUAUUGUGGCAUCAGGACCAUUGUGGCUUUAUGCAUUGAGACAGCUUUGGCAAGACUUCCUCAAAUUGAGGAUAGGAUCAUACUCACACUAGUUUUGGCUUGAGGAAGGUAGCUCCUCCUCAAGCGGUGUACUUCGGAGUGUAGACAUCACGGGGAGUGGCCCCGUCAUUGUUCCCUCGGGUGGUAGUGCUAGUAGCCUCUCCCGGUAGACGGGAAUUGUGGUUUGUGAGAUUUGAGGUGAACCAGGUGUACCUCGGGAUGAUUGGGUAAAGGCCAAAAGAAAAGAAAGUAAACGAGAAAGAACAUGCAUGCAUCAGAUCUAUGAAUCGAUUAUCUAUCUAUCUGUUGACAGUUGUUUUGCAGGCAUUGUAUUAGUAAUUGCAUUAGAUAGUUUGAUAUCUACUUUAAUUGAAAUACAUAUGCCUGAUAUAGACCUAGUGGGCAAGUCGGCACGGUCGGCGGCCGAACCCAUUGGGAACUUCGUUCUAGUUCUCAUUACCACUAACCCUGCAGAUCCGUGCGCGAGCGGGGCGACGGAGGAUCGAGGCAAGGGUAUCACGCCGUAGAUAAUGGCCUCGGAGUUUAUAGGCAUACCCUAUUUUGGUGUAUUCAACUUUUGUAUGUUGAACUUGUAAUGUAAAGAAUAAUAAAGAUGUAAACUUUAUUUUGGUUAAAGGUAAAAGUGAUGUAAAUGAUUGGUAAAAGCAGGAAUGUAAAUGUAAUAGUUUAUUUGUGUUUGAUACAAAUGUAAUCAAAUGACUUGUAUGUUAAAUGCUUAGAUAGUUUCGAUGCUUUCACUUAUGUUGUUGUUGUUUGCCCUCGUGCAAACCUUAUAUAUCUUGCAAUUUUCUUGUUGACUUGCUUGUAAUAUACAUGUUGUUGGAGCCUUGGACGGACAGGGGAGGUGCUGUCCGUUCGGCGUCUGUUCGCGUGCCCGAACCGACCAAAUUGGCGGCUCCGGGGCAUGACACCUAUAGUUAUCAUGUCAUAAGUAUCUCUACUACACUAGUUCCAAAUGCCACUCUUCUAUAUCAUUUACUUGUUCAAGUUCAUCACUUGUUCUUUGCACUAUAGGAUUCCAUGUCAAGACACAAUCCUCAUGCAUCCACUAGAUCAUGUGUCCAACUCACAUUUCUAUUUCUACAAUGGAAGCAUGCAAGGAAUUGAAGUACAUCCAACUACACAUCCUACAAUGCAUAAUAUCAACAUAUAUAUCCAAUGACAUUAGGUCCAAUGCCACUCAAUCUACUUUGACAUCCUAGUUGUCCACAUCGAGUAUUAUAGUUCAUAUAUUAUUGUUUUCCAAUGUCGAGUUCUCUAAUCAACCUAGAGUUUAUCGAUCCAAGUUCAACAUGCAUAUGUUAGUUAACAUCUCAAGAUAUGUCAACAUGCAUAUUUAUCUAACAUAACCCACAAUAUGUCAACAUGCAUAUUUAUCAUCUAGCAUCUCAAGAUAUGUCAACAUGCAUAUUUAUCUAACAUAACCCACAAUAUGUCAACAUGCAUAUUUAUCAUCUAGCAUAUCAAGAUAUGUCAACAUACAUAUAUUUUUGUCAUCCAAUAGUAGUCAAGCAUCUCAUGCAUUCCUUUAGCAUUAUUUUCAUGCAUUCAUCUAGCAUUUAAUUAUCAUUACAUGCAUCAAUGAGAAAUAACACUUCACUUCGACAUGGAAGUGAGCUAAUAUCUUCGGUGAGCACAACCCACCUUGUAACGCUCUCCGAUUGUUUAUCGACACUUGCAAUCGACCUCCCGCGGCACUUGUUGUCCGGUUCGGCUCGAACUUGCAACCGACCACCAACUGCACGCCGAUCCGCGACCUAGAGUUAUCAAGGGCCUUUCUCUAACCUUCAAUUAGAGAAACAUAGGGUUAAUUUAGAUCAAAACUCCUAAAUCCCCAAAACACUCAUCUCUAACCCUAGCAUGGCAUAAUGUCCAACUAAGCCUUAAUCUCAUGGAGGAACAUGUUUAGAAUCAUGUAGGGUUCACAAGAACAUCAUUUAUAAAGGGUUUCCUCAAAACCCUAAACUUAAAUUAUGAAAUUUCACCUUGACUACAUAGUCUCCCAAGCCAAAUCCACCAUUGGAGAGCUUGCUUCACUACCAAGCUUCAUCUCCAACUAAUUCCAAGUUUAACCUCCAAUUUCUCCUCCAAUUUCUCUCUUUGGGGGAGAAAUUACAAGAGAAGGAGAGAGAGGUGAAAGCUAGAGAGAAAGAGAGAAGACUUGCUUCUCCUCUCUCUCUCUCGGGUUGAACCAGGACCAAGGGGAGAAGCAAAUGUUACAUAUAUAGGCCCCCCCAACAUUAAUACAACUUUCAGUUCAGCAUUUCAGAAUCUGAAGUUUUUUACCGGAGCCCUUCUGAAUGUCCGUUCGCGCUCAAAUUUGACAGUCAGGCUAGGUUUAAAUUAACAAAAAGAACGAAAUCUUAACUUUUCAGUUUGGACUAUUUUUGGUCAUCGAAAGCUCUACCGACCCGAAUCUCUAGCAAAUAGCAGUCGGAUUUUAUUUUUUACUUUUCGGAUGUCGGAAUGACAUAAAACUUCAAAUCUAGCCUCAUAAAAAUUCCGACAUAUUCCCAAACUUUCAUACUUUUCUGACACUGUGAAUUUUCUGCUAAAAGAUCAGCCUCGUUUCUCACAGAAAAUUCUAAAUCUUCUGUUUCCGUUCCACUUUCAGCAUAAGUCAUUUCCGACUUAUAUUUUACUUCUUUAAGUCUAAUAAAAAUAAUAUCUUACACUAUUUUUAUUUAUAUUUACCUUUAUAUUAAAAUCCGGUGCAUAACAAUUAGGCUACUGUAUUGUUAAUAACACCAUAUCAUUCGUGCUAUUAGAUUUUCAGUCUUUAUUUGGAUGAAAUGAUGUGUGGUUAAAAUGAUAGUAGUCCUCUAAAGUUGAGUGAAUGGUUGGUUGAAUACUAUGAUAUGACAGAUUAAAUGAUCAACGGGAUAGAUCAAAUGGUGGAAAACUUGAUAGCAACAAGUGCUUGGUGUUAUUGAUAGCGUAAUAGCCGGACUGAGAUAAAGUGAUUGAUAAAUGAAUAGUACGGCACAUAAUAGCUAAUGUCAAUCAUUAAAUUCAAUCAUUAAAAGUAAUUUUAAAUGAAACAUUUUCUUAAAAUCUCUAUUUUUGGUGGAGUGGAACAUCGAUCACAAGUUCUCGCUGGAUCGAGCAGCUGUGCAUAGUUCCUCGAUUUUCUAUAUAAAUAAGGUUUGUUUGACAGUGAAAACGGCAUCAAUUAAUCAUGCGAGGAAAUUAUAAAAUUCUUUUAAAUUAAUUAAGCUCUCCUAAAUUUACUGAUGGUGAACCUAAUAUGUAUUUGUUAGCUUUGAGCUAACAAGUACCAUCUAUGUAUUUCAACUGAUCGAUGGGCUUCAAUAUAUAUACCAUGAUCUUAAUUUCAACAAUACAUACGCACUACUUCGGUACUUCGUCUAAUUAAUCGAAGGGUUGCCAAGGAUUUAGUGAGAUCAAAUUAAACCAAGUUUCGCAGACUGAGUAAAUGACAAAUUGUUAUUUAAAUCAUUCGUGCAAAUAUGAGGUUAAAAAAGAAAAAAAGAAAAACAGAAAAAAGGGGCGAACUGUGAUAUAUAUAUAUAUAUAUAUAUAUAUAUAUAUAUAUAUAUAUCCAAAGACCGAAGGUUGUAAACUGAACAAAAAUGGACGUCUUUGCCUUGACAGGCUGGAAAGCCAGAUUAAUUAUGAGCUUUUGCAUGUGCAAGGCAACAAAAGCAGUUAGACAGCCUUUUGUGACCUUUUUGGCCCUUAAUCAUUGUGCCCUUAAUCAUUGUUUUUAUUUUUUUUUUUUCCACCAAAUAGUUGCACAUUUUCGAUGAUCGUUUUAUCGAUCCUACCUGAACUUUCAUAAUCUCCAAGCGAUCGAGGCGAGUUCACGGCAUGUACCUUGCUAAUUAAUUAGUGUUGUAUAAAGAAUUUGUGAUUUCUUAUCUGGAAAUAUAUACAAUCUAUACACCCUGUUAAUAAAGUGUAAAUCUUACGCCCUACUUCACUAUACUUUCUUAAAUUUUUAGUAGUAAGAAAAAAAAAAAAAAGACUACGGGAGAGUUGUAGCUUUAAUUUGGAUGGAAGGAGCAUAGAGCUUACUUAGCGUAACAUUUAUAGGAGCGAUUUCUGUUGAAAUUAUUUUGGUUUAGAGAAUUGCUUUUAGUUAAAAACUGUACAUCGUUUAUCUAAGUUUGGCAUAAAAGUUAUUUUCUUUAAAAUGAUAUUAUUAAGAUUUUUGCCAAAUUUUCUUAAAUAAUUUUAUAAAUUUGAAAUUUUAAUAUUUUAAAAUUUAAAAUUAUAAAAUUUAAAAAUUUAAAAAUCUAAAAUUUAAAAUCCAAAUAUACAUUCUGAAAUUAAAAUUGUAAAAAUUUAAUAUUUUAAAAUCUAAAAUUUUAAAAUUCAGAUCUAAUUUGAAUUUUAAAUUUCAAAAAUAAAAUUUAAAAUUUAAAAUUUUAAAAUUCUAAAAUUAAAAUAUAAAAUUUGAAAUUUGAAAAUUUGAAUAUUUAGUAAAAGUAAGUUUUAUAGUUCUUAAAUUUAAAAUAUAAAAUAUAAAUUUUUAAUUUAAAAUUUGAAAUUACAUUUUAAAUUUAAAUUUUAGAUUUGAAAAUUUAAAAUUAAAACUUUAUCUUAAAUUUAAAUUUUAAAUUUUAAAUUUUAAAAUUUAAAACUUAAUAAUUUAAAAUUUAAAGCUUUAUCUUAAAUUUAAAAUUUUAAAAGUUAAUAAUUUAAAUCUGAAAUUUUAAAUUUUAAAUUUUAAAUUUUAAACUUAAUAAUUUAAAUUUUUAAUUUUUAAUUUUUAAAUUUUCUUAAUUUUAAAUAUACAAUUUGAAUUUGAAUUUAAAAUUGAAUGUAAAAUAAAACUUUAAAUCUAAAAUCAGAAAAAACACACUCUGAAAUUUAAUUUUAAAAGUUAGAAUCAGAUUUUAGCAAUAAAAUUAUCAAACGCUCUAGUGAAAGAAAAAGCACUUUUAUUCCCAAAAUUGUUUUCUAAAAUCUAGAUCAUACACGCUGCGAAAUUUGCACAUAAUCUAGAGUUUACAAAUUACAAGCGACAUUGUUCGUUUCUGACCGUUUACCCUACUUUUUAUGCGCACAUUAUCUCCAUGCGCAUCCCGUGGAGAUGUUAAUUAGAGUACGUAGAAGAUACCUAUCUAGGUACACUUGAAUAGUUUUAAGGACCAGGCUACAUCUCUCUCCCGCUCCCUCUCGCGCUCUACAUAGAGAAAGAUAUAUAUAUAUAUAUAUAUAUAUAUAUAUAUAUAUAGGGUUAAUUACAACCUAAUCUUUACACUAUUUUUCAAUAUAAUCCCUAACUUUCUUUUUGCAAUUAAGUUUCUAAUCUUUUAAUUUUAUUGUAAUUAAGUCUCAGCCGUCAGAUAGGUGUUAAAAUUGAUAAAAAAUAUUAGGUCAGCGCCAUGAAGGAGCCGUGUCAACACUACCCAGGCGCCAUAUCAGCGCCAGCUAAUUAUACAAUUUAAAUUUAAAUUUAAAUUUAAAUCUAAAUUAUACAUUCAAUUAAAUUAUAAAUUCAAAGCAAGAUUUUUAAUUUAAAAUUUAAAAUUUGGUUUUGGAUUCAAAUUUAAAUUUUGAUUUUAUAUUUAAUUUUAAAUUCAAAUUCACAUUUUGAAUUCUAAUUUAGAAUUGGAAUCAAAUAUUAAAUUCAAAUUUAGAAUUGGAAUCAAAUAUUAAAUUCAAAUUUAAAUUUCGAAUUUAAAUUUAAAAUUUUAAAUCAAAAUUUUGAAUAUAUUUUAAAUUUAAAUUUAGAUUUUAAAUUUAAAUUUUAGUUUCAAAAUUUUCAUUUUAAAUGCAAAUUGAAAUAUCAAAAUCAAAAUCAAAAUUUUAAAUUUGAAUUCAAAAUUUAGAUUCAAUUUAAAAUUCAAAUUUAAAAAUUUAAAUUUCAAUUCAAAAUUGUAAUUCAGUUUUAAAUUCAAAUUGAAAAUUCUAAUUUCUCGUUAGUUUAAAAUUUUAAUUUUAAUAUCGUUUAUAAAUUUAAAUUUACAAUUUUGAAUUUAGAUUUAAAAUUUUGAAUUUUUAUUUUUGGAGACUAAAGUGAAAAAGCGCAAAGUUUAGUGACCAAAAUUAACAUGCAAAAGAAUGCCAAGUAGGCACUGACAUGACGAUUCCGUUAAUUUUAACACUUUGUUUAACAGCUGGCACGUAAUUGCAACAAAAUCAUGAGACUAGAGACUCGAUUGCGAAAAAAAAAUGUUGGAUGUAAGAGAAUAAAGAAUUUGAAAAAUUAUCUUAUGUCUUCUCUUGGGGGUGUUAGUUAUUUAUAUUGUAGUAUAUUAGUUUAAAUUACAAUAGAAUCAAUUUAAAUUUUGUAAAUUCUUAAGUUGUUAUAACAAUUUGCUUGACAACUAGAAUGGCUUGGAGUUGUUACAACAUAUCUCCUCAAUACACCCCUACAAACUCAACUCAGCUGGGACGACAUUCAGCUUGGAUCGAAUCAUGCAGAACCGCGCCCUAGAAAGAAGUUUCAUCAAUGCAUCAGCAAGUUGAUUUUUGGUGGAUACGUAACAUCUUGAAUUUGCAUAAAAAGAGCAACAUAAUAAAUUUUUUUUAUAAAAAAAAUACUAAUAAUCAUCUUAAUUUCCAAUGGGUUGAUGUCUUGGAAAUAAAAGUGGACCAUGACUUUUCGGCAUUUACUUCAGAGUAUUUAUUUAAAUCAUAUUAAUUAAUAUAUUUAAUAAUAUUAUUUGAUAAUUGAAACUAAAUUUAAUAAUUUAGUAGCAAUUUAUUAUUAAAAUUGUGAAAUGGGAUAAAUUAGCAGCAUAAAUGCCACUGAAGUUUUCAACAUUUUACAAAAAAUGAUACUAAAUGUAAUAAAAUAGCAGUGCUUAUUGCUAAAUUUCAUAACAUUACUCCACAGUAUUUAUUUAAAUCAUAUUAAUUAAUAUAUUUAAUAGCAUUACUUGAUAAUCGUUGCUAGAUUUAGUAACUUAGCAGCAAUUUACUAUUAAUAUUAAAAAUGUGCGAACUGAGAAUUUGGCUGUGUAGCUAAACUCUCUUUUAAUGAUAUUUUUAUAUGUAUUUUUAAUUACAAAAAUACCCGUCAAGUUUCGGAGGAAAACGAGUUAGAAUAAAGAUUUUACGCGAUCUUUACUUUUCACUUAAAGUGAAUAGUAAUCCGAGUUUCUCGGAGAGGCAAAUGAUUAGAGAUAGCUUCUGGUGCGUAUCGAACUCCGUUCAUGGUGAUCCAAUAGCUCGUUUGCAAUGGUCCGACUAUCCUUCAACCAACGGCGCUAACAGAUUUUAGGUUUGACGCACGGAUUUCAAGAAAACUAGAUUUUAUCGCAAAGUAGACUUUUGUUCUUUAUCAUUUUUGCUUUUUGAAACUUCUCGUUGCUCCGUUUUACGUGUGGACUCUCGGGUGAGGACCCUUCUGUGAGAAAAUAUUUAUGUCAAGGGACUUUGGCUGCAUUUUCGCUGAUUGGAGAUUUUGGAGGCAAUUAUUGAAUAUAUACAUUUACUUGUACGUGUGUGGUUUCGCUAAAUCGAAGAGUGGAUGGGUUUCGUCGCGAAUCUGUGAUCAAAUCAGGUGAAAUAAAAUUGUGGGUUUGAUAUCUCUGUCGCGCUGAACGUGUGGUACAGUCCGUUUGCAAAUCUGACCGACGGAUCUCCAUAUAUCGCACGAGGAUCGAGAAGGGGUCAUAUGUGGCAAAACAAAAAUUUUGCAAAAAGCCCUACAUUUUAUGUACCGUUUUACGUGAAAUCGAACACGAGGAUGUGUCCGCAUGUUUUACUCAUGCUGUGAGGAACUAAGCUGAAAAUAUUGAGUUUCUGUGGACUAACACACAAUUAUACAUCCAUAUAAAAGAGCCAACUAGGGUUUGCAUGGUGCAAACCCUAACCCUAGAUCCAGCUGACCCCCCAGCCGCUCCUCCUCCCUUCCCUGAGUGCGCUGCGCGCCCCCCCGGCCACCACCGACCAUGCUCAGGCCGGCCAACCGCCGCCACUGCCACCACCUUCAUCUUCUCCAUCUUCUCCACCACCACUCUCUUCUUCUUCUCUACCAGGGCGCAAGUAGGGUGAUCCCUCAACCUCAGGGCCUCCUUCCGGCGUCCCACUGGACCUCUGGUGGCCUUUCCCGCCUGCCGCAACCGCCUCGACCGCCGCCGCGCAGCUGCUGCAAACAUACGGUCGAGACAUGCAGCGCCGCACUCCCAACCACCCGCCACCGUCCCCGUCCCUUCCCUUCGGUCCUAGAGGAACCCAGCACCACUCCUCCAGCGACCCCGACCCUCGCCGUGGCCGGAGCAGCUCGCCGAGCCCGGGCUUAAACUAUGCGGGCUCAGGUUGCACCACCACUAUCACCGCCGCCUUUUGCCACCGGCCAGCACGAGCACCGGCCUUCCCCCAUUGGCUGCACCCAUCUGCCGCCGGCGCGCACACCGCCCAGCCGCCGCUAGCCGUGCUCUGGCCUUCCUGCCCCGGUAAGCUUAUUUAAGGCUUUUUGGUUGGUGUUCUGGGUUGUUCUCGCUUUUUUGACGAUCCAAGGCUAUCUCGAUGCCUCCGGAGGUGAGCACGGUGAUCGUUGGUCAUUACUGAUCACAGUGCUCACCUCACUUAGGAUUAGCGGAUUUCGAAUCUGCAUUUUUGGCGCGAUUUACCCCGAGUGCAUGGGCACAGUUUGCUGAAUUUUGGGUCGCCCCCGUGCCUCCCACAGUUAGCCGUUGUACUCCGGGUCAUGAGCAUGGCCUCUUGCACGUUGAGACCUAUUAGUACGUGCCUCGGCUGACCUCGGAAACCCUCAGUUUGUGGUAACGAGCCACAAAAUCUCGUUAUUUACAUAAAAUGAUGUAAUUUUAUGUAAUAGUUGGGAGUUUUAUGCAAUUUUGCACCUUAUGGCUGUCGUGUGCUAUAUGAACAUGUGGUAGUCGACCUCUGGACUGAUCGUCCAAGGCCCGUAGCCCUUCGCGGAAAUCGAAUAUCGAUUUCGUGCCUUUUUCGAUGAAAUUCGCCGACGGAACGCGACUUCCGUUCGGAUUUCAUCCAACAGUGUUUAAUUGCCUUGAGUUUUGUCGCCGAGCCUUAUCGGCUGGUCAAAUCGUCAUAUCAUGAGUUCGGAGAUGGCGGGUGAGCGACAGUGGGUUCCGGUGUUGAAAUUAACACUUCUGGGAACUCGGAUUCGAAUGAUUAUUCGGCGAUAACCGUUUUGAUGUGUGACUUGUGUUUGCUGCCAAGACAUCCAAAAAGAUGUGUUUUGUGGCAGCGGGUGACUCGUGGCACGAGUAGGCGAGUUUCGGGACACUUAGUAGGUCUCGGUGGCGUCCCGGUGUGAUUUUUGAGACUUCCAGCGAGUUACAAUGAUCAAUUUUAGAAAAUCGAUUUCGGGGAUUUAUGUAGGGUUCGUAAGUUGGGUAUUUUGGAUUUGUGGGUUCGAUACUGACCCGGUGGACCCUUCGUAGGUUCGGUUGACUUUUUGUGCAUCAAGGACUCCGACUUGACUGUGAUAGGUGGGUGUUUCGAGCUGGUAGUUGGUGAGAUCGUUUCACUUUCCUCUCCCUUGCUAUUGCUCUUGCAUAUCAAUACUUCAGUCUCUACAUAUCAAUUGCUUUUGUUUAUCAUUCGUUCAUCUAUAUCUUGAUAGUUGCGUGGUGACAAUUGUUAUUAGACAUGUAGAGUAAGCUUACAUAUAUUGUAUAUCUAUGGACCUUGGGUCUAGACAACACAUAGACUCCUUUGUCGUGUGUUUUGAUCUAGUUGAUCAUGGUUCGGUGUUGUACGCCCUUAUAUCUAGCUUUGGCCAUGGCACUGGUUUUCUACCGAUUUUCGCAUUCAGCAUAUCAGCAUGAUUUAGUCACAGCACUGUGUAUUCUAGACACUGGUUGGUUUGGCCACCGACCAGGGGGUGUACGUAUCUGGAUAGGUCGUCAGUGGACGCGUGAAUCAAGUCAGUGUAUGCUCUGUGACAGGCAACGCUUGAGGUCUGCGGACCAAUAUGGCAGACACCAGAUUAGAUUUAAUUGGAUCAUUUACCUUUGAGGCAUCUGUUCAGUUGAGAUUAUAAUACAGUAGUAGCCUUAUCCCUUACUCAUUUACUAUUCUAUUAUUACUACUGUUGUCCACUUACGUAUCUUAUAUACCUAUUGUUAUAUUUUCUUUAUUUUCUAGUGAAUAUGAUUUGUCUUCGUGGCUCUGUCGUACUCACUGGAAAAUCUUGAUUGUGGUUUCUCACCCCCCAUUUUUUCAGGUGGCUCCGGUAAGGAGUUGGUUCUUGGCGCGACGGGAGGACGUCCUAGUUAGGCUACAUUAGCGGUCAUCACCUUGGUUAUUUUCUUUUCUGCAAUUAAUAAUUUAAAUAACGAAUGGUUUAGUUAGAUGAUCAUAGUUACUACUUGAUUAAUCGUGAACUUGUAUGAGUUGAUAUUUUCUAUUAUGCAUGCAAUCGAAGUUUUAUGGAUCUUUAGUAUUUGGAUUUAUACGUUGUGGUUUUCUACCCCUCGAGGUAGUCGGUUUUCAAAAAUAGAGUUUCCGAAUGGGAAACAGUUUUAAAAAGUUUUUAAAUGAUUGUUCAUGGAUAAACAAAUAGAGUUUAAAAAUAAAUCUUUCGGAUGGGGAGUACUUUUAAAUAGGAUGACUGUUGUAUUGUGCAUCGCAUCAUCCAGAGCCUAAGCAGUGUUUAGAGACAUACAUCAUCUUUAAGGAUCGCUAGCUGUAUGGAAUUGCAUCGCAUGAAUUGCUUGUGGAUUGGUAAAUAUAGAUUGUGAGUUAUGAUCCUUUUGUUGUUAUCGUUAGGUACGCCGUGCAAAUAUAAAGGAGACUCUGUCCGUGUGGGUAGAGGAAUUUUAUAAUUGUGGCGAGUACGCCACGUGGGCAGGUUGAAUUCAAAAAAAAAAGGCACUUUUUCCACCACUCUGAUUUUUUUAAAAAAAAUAGUAUUUGAUCAUUAUAAAAAGGAAUUUAAAAUCGGCCCCAGAGCGUGAUAGAAAAAUAGAAUAAAUUAACAGCGUAAAUUAGUGAACAUCGCUGAAGUUUCCAACAUUUGAUUAAAAAUGAUAUUAAAUAUAAUAAAGUAGCAGUACUUAUUGCUAAAUAUCGUCACUAAUCAAUAUAUAAUUAUUAAUAUAUCCCAUUUUAUACAUAGAAUUAAAAAUUUUAAAAUUAAAGUUUAGAAAUUUGAAACUUAUAAUUGAAAAAAUUAAAUUAUAAUUUAAAAUUUUAUAUUUUAAAUUUUAAAUUCUAAACUUUUAAAAUUUAAAAUUAUUUUAAAUUUUAAAGUUUUAAAUUUUUAUUUAUUUUAAAUUUAAAACUGCAUAUUUUGAAAAUUAAUAUUUGAUAUUUAAAAAUUAAAAAUUUGAAUUUAAAAUCUAAAUUUAGAAUUUAAAUUUAAAAUUUUAAAAUUUAGAAAUUAAAAACUUAAAAUUUAAAAUUAAAAGAAUUCAAAUAUAUAUAACCGACAGCCCCUAGCGCAAGUGGCAAAGGGCUUGGUGAUUAGUAAUCUGAGGUCUCAACUUCGAAUUGUUGAGUCACAUUUCCAACUAAGUUUAUUUGUAAAGGAAAUAAAAGCGGGUAGAAUGCUACAUUUCUCUAAAAAAAAUUCAAUAACAAAUAUAAAUUUCAAUUUCAGUUUAAAUUUAAAAAUUGAAUCUAAAAUAAAAUUAAAAUUUUAAAAUUUGAGUACCCAAAAUUAGGUAUUUGUAUUAGUGGCAUUAUAUUUAUGCAUCAUUAAUAAACAACUUAAAAUUAACAUUUAACAGCUCUUUUAGCAGUAUAUUGCUAAUGACACCAAUUGAUUUACAUUGACGGCAUUCAUUAUAAAUACUGCCAAUACUUUUAGCAAUAUUGGCAUAUGGAGUAUUUUGUGUCAUAUGCUGCCAAAACUUUUAACGACAUUCGUUGAUUUUUUAGCAGCAGCCACUAAUGACUAAUUUUUUAGUUAUUAAAAGCAUUUGGUUGCUUAGAAAAUAUUGAUUCCACUUUGGCAUUUAUAGAUUGUAAGUAAAUUAAGUAAUUCUUUAAUACCAAAAUUAAAAUUAUUUUUAGACUUUAAUUAACAUUAUUCUCACCUGAGAAUAAUUAUAAGUUUGUUCCAAAAAAAAGGUGGAACGGCAGUUCCAGCCUUAUACCAGCUUAUUCCAGAAAUUCGAGAACUACUAUUAUCAUAUACCAAACGCAGCGUUUGGAAAUAAAGGAAGGAACAAAAGCUUAUUCCUCCAUUUAUUUCCGAACCAAACGCUAAGUUUUUCAGCUAGCAAAUAGCAAUACUACAACUGUACUGCUAAUUAAAUUUGAUUAGAAACUAUUAGUAAACUAAUUAAGUUACAUUAACCUAUUAAUCCAUGCAUAUAUCUCUUAGCAGUAACCCAGAGUUCAUAUAUAAAUGCUGAAUAUAGAAGGGUGGGCCCUACUAUUACUUUGUUCUUGAUCGGCAUUGUUUGGUUAUGGAAUGGAAAUAAGGGGAAUAAGGGUCUUAUUAAUAUUCCCCUUCUUGUUCCCAAACACAAAAAAUUCUAGUUCCCUUCUUAAAAUGUUAUUCUAGAGUAAUCCGUUAAAAGUGGGUGGAAUUGUUGUUCCACCAUUCACAUUAAUUCUUCCACUUAUACCUAUAUUAAUUUAAUAAUAAAAUAUAUUUAAUUAAUGUAAUGUAUAUUAAUUUAUUUACUAUUUAAUUCGAUAAAUAAUUAAUCAUUCAUUUAUUAAUUUAAUAAAUAUUUAAUUAACUAUAUGAGUAAUUAAUUUAUUAUAUUAAUUAGCUAAUUAAAAAAUUAAUUAUUUCAUAUUAUAUAUGUUUAUGCAAUAAGUAAUAUUUAUAUUGAUUAACUAAUUAAUAUUUUACUAAUCUAAUUAUUUUCUUAACUAACUAUCUAAUUAUUAAAAACUAAUAAUUAACUAAUUGAUUAAUUAAUUUAUUAAAUUACUUGUGAUUGAUUAAUUUAUUAAUUAAUAUUUAUGGUUAUCUAGUAGUAUUCACGACAAAUUAAUUAAUAAAAUUAAACUAUUAUUUAAUUAAUAUUUUUAUAUUAAUUAAUUAGCUAAAAAAAUAUUAUUAUUUAAAAAUUAUAAUUAUUUUUAUUUUUAUUAUUUCAAUCUAAUUAUUCAAAUACCAUUACUUAUAUUUUUAAGAACAAUUUAAUUAUUUUCGAACUAAACUAUACCCAUUGGAAACGCUAGGUAGCUCUUUGAAGCGACCAGGAGAUCCCAAUGCAUGAUCUCCUUUUUUUUUUUCUGCCACUGUCUUUAAUUCCACGUGAACAACAACAUUAGAUGGUGGAUCCAUCGACAUAUAUUCCUUCCCUUUUCGUGGUCACCGGACACAUAUCUCUUCUUUUAAGAGUACUGUUGAGUGAUGCUUUCGAUCAUUUUGUUCUCUCAACCAAGGACAAAAAUAAUAAUAAAAAAUAAAAAAUAGAAAACCGAAUAAGAAGUGAUGUAGUACUCAUUAAUGGCUUUUACCAUUCAACAACGUUACAGAUCAGAAAUGAUACGUUCAAACAACGGCAUCAUCGCACGCAAGAAGAAAUGAUAGCCAGCUUACUUUAACUGGGGCUUCUUGUUCUCUUGUUGUUGUUGUGGAGUGCCCGGCCUCACAGUAAUUAAUCGCACAAAUGGAGUAGUGCUGCAGCAUUGGAUAUAUAACUAAGUACGUGCAUAAUACUAUUUGCGACGUGAUAUAUAUAUAUAUAUAUAUAUAUAUAUAUAUAUAUAUAUAUAUAUAUAGUUCCAGUAUGGUGCUUGUAAAAGCACCAAACACUUGGUGCUUGUAAGUUUUUUACCGUUAGAUCUACUCCUCGGAUCAUUUUCAACCAUUAGAUUAAGUACCAAGUUUGUCACGCUCCGAGACCGCUACCCAUUUGGUCCGGUUCGGGCACGUCGAACAGACAUCGAACGGACAGCAUCUCCCCUGUCCGCCCAAAACUCAAGCACGGGAUCAUGUAUAAGAAUUCCCCCGGAAAUAAUUUAAUACAUAUAUAAUCCAUACAACGACAAUAGAAGCACCAUAAGUGCGUAACAACAAGAGCAAGUAACACAAAUAUCUAUACAAGUGCAUAAAAAGAGAGUUCUAUUUAUUACAUCAUGAUUUGUACAUUUAUACAAUUUACAUUUUCGAUUCAUCCAAAAUAUAGAUACAGCUUCAUUCACAUCUCUCCAAAAUGCAUCUCACAACCUAUACAUCAUCUACUCUCAUAUAUGUAGGCACCUCUAAUGCAACUGGAGGGAUACUAAUGCUAGGGCGCUAAGCCCUUACCGCGAUCCUCGCCCGGAGCGCUCGUACUCGGCCCUGCAAUAAAGUGGGGUGAGAACUAUUGUCCAUAUUUCACAGUGGGUUCGGCCGCCAACUCCGCCGAUCUCCCCACUAGGUCCAAGUGGGCACAAACAGAUAGAUAGGUAGAUAGAUAUAUGAAAGCAGUAACAACAUAGUAAGAAAGUUAUGCUACUGUGCCCGAAUCAUAUACAAUGUAUGCAUGCACAAUGUGAUUAAUAAAGUAAUCAACUAACAUGUCACUAUGUCCAAGAAGUAAUAUUGUUUACUUGUUCAUCAAUUCUUUUGGCUUAUCCAAUCCUUGGCCAACCCGGAGGUUCGCCCACGACUCACAUGCAUCUCGUGGUAAGGAGACUCAACUCCCUCACAAACCCGAGACCGUCUGCGGGGCCCCAUAAGGCUAUCCCAGGGACCCAUAAGACUAUCCCUCAUGUGACAAAACUCCGGAGCGCACACUUGUGAGGAGCAACCAACACAAGUUCUGAACAGACAGCGAGUAUGAUCCAAUCCUCUCAACUCGAUAAUACCCUACCCACUAGGGCUAACAGUCACUCGGGAACCCACCUAUCCCAAUGUCCAUAUGCAAGUGUUUAACUACACUAAGUUCUUAUUCAAUGACUCAUCACUAGGGAAUCCGCCUAUCCCUAAGUUCACAUGUCAAGUGUCAUUUUUACACUAAGUUAUAUGCUACUCGUUCUGUUGUCAUUGUUAUUUACAUGCCACUCGUUAUGUCUUAUCAACCAUCGAGUCCAUCUCUUAUCUCAGCACUAUAGGAUUCAAUGUCUCGACCCAAUCCUUAUCUAUCCAUUAUAUCAAGCAUUCAACUCACACUAAUGAUAUUGUCUAGAAAAGCAUAAGGAAAAAGGAAUUCCACAUUUAUCCUACAAUGCAUAUAUGCAAGAGAUGCAAGAUUUAAAAGGCACUAAGACAUAAAGAGGAGCCCGGUUGCUUCGGGAUGACACCACCCACCUUGUGGCGUUGUCACAACUGUAGGAAUGAAGUUCGCCGAUUUUACAACGUCGUCUCGGCCUCCUAGGCUGAAACGAAACUCGGAAGACCCCUUUUUGCCGUAACUUUGCACUCGCUCGACGAAUCGUCGAACCGUCUUCGCCUACGCGUUUAAACACCUAGCAGUUAGGUUUACACUUGAUCAAUUUAGAUCAAUACCCAACAAAUCACAAAACCCCAUUUUUGGAGCCCUAACUUGCAAUUAUGUAAGAAUCAAACUCUAAAUCCUCAAACUCAUGCAUAAAGCAUCUCUUUAGCAUGCUAGAGUUCUAUUUAAACCAAUUCUAGAGUAUAAAGUCCAAACCCUAGAAGUUCACCAUGAUUGAGCUUCAAGCUUUCCUCCAAAAGCUAGCUCCAAGGUGUAGAGGAAGAAGAAGAAGAUGAAGAUCCCUCUCCUUGCUUGCUUCUCCACCAAAUCCCUUCUCUUCUUCACCUUCUAGAGAGAGAGGAAGAGAGAUUAGAGGAAGAGAGGCUUUAGGUUUGUAUUUAGAGUUGAGGAAAUGAGAAGAGAGAGAGCAUACUCUCAUAUAGCCUCUACUUAUGCUACAAUUGCAUAAAAACCCCUCAACUUUGCUUUCAUGACACAGCCCAUCUCGGGUAGAUUGGGGCUACGGGGACCGGUCUCUCCCUACCAGGGACCGGUCCCUCAAGACCUCCCCAAAUCUACGCGUUCGGGAACCAGUCCCUAUGGCCCGGGGACUGGUUGCAUCACGCGUCGCCGCAACCACCAGCCGAUGGGACCGGUUCCUGAGAGCAAACCCGCGCAGACUAUGUUCGGAAACCGGUCCCUCCCACAAGGGACCGGUCCCCGAGAGUAAAUCUGCCAAGUGCAGGAUUUCAUAUCAUUUGCUCUCGCAGACUCCAUUCCAAUGCACCUUUGGCCAUUUUGAUGCCUUCGGCUUUUCCGAAGCACACCAAGUCGACAAUCAGUCGAUUCUAACUGAAGUCCAACUCUAGUAUUUCGAGAAUUUACUUCCUUACAUCCUCCCCACCUUUAAAAGAGUUUCGUCCUCGAAACGAACUCAAUUCUUAAUUAAACUCGAACUUAAUUCAUACCUUACUCACGCCUCAAAAAGAUGAGGGUACUUCGCUUUCAUUCCGUCCUCAAGUUCCCACGUAGCUUCGCGAUCGUUAUGCUUGGUCCAUCGAACCUUGACGUAGGGAAUUUCGCGAUUUCGCAACUUUCGUACUUCUCGAGCAAUAAUCAACGCCGGAUAUCCUUAUAGCUCAAGUCCUCGCGUAAUUCCGGCGGUUCAUAUGAUAAUACAUGCUCGGGAUCGUGGAUAUAUUUGUGGAGUUUGGAGACAUGAAAGACAUUGUGAACAUCGGCGAGUUUCGGCGGCAAUGCGAGCCGAUAAGCCACCGCACCAAUCCGCUCCAACACCUCGUAUGGUCCAAUGUAUCGGGGACUCAACUUUCCCCGCACUCCGAACCGCUUCACGCCUCUCAUGGGCGACACCUUUAAGAAGAUGCAGUCGCCCACCAUGAAUUCCAAAUCUCUACGGCGCUUAUUAGCAUAACUCCUUUGGCGAGCGAGACGGACUUUCUCCUCCGCCUCUCGCAAAACAUUGGGGCCUAGAACCGCACGCUCGCCUACCUCACUCCAAUGAAUAGGAGAUCGGCACUUCCCCGUAAAGAGCUUCGAACGGUGCCAUCCCUAUGCUAGUCUGAUAACUGUUGUUGUAGGCGAACUCGGCCAUCGGCAAAUGAUUACUCCAACUGCCCUUGUAAUCAAUGACACACGCCCGCAACAUAUCCUCCAGAAUUUGUAUAGUCCUCUCUGACUGUCCAUCUGUCUGAGGAUGAAAAGCAGUGCUGAAAUCGAGCCGUGUGCCCAACGCUUCUUGCAGGCUCUUCCAAAAAUGCGAAGUGAACCGGGGGUCUCGAUCCGAUACGAUUGACUUUGGCACCCCGUGCAACCUCACAAUAUCAUCAAGGUAUACCUGCGCUAGCCUAUCACCUGCCCUAGUCAUGUGGAUCGGUAGAAAGUGUGCCGACUUCGUCAAACGAUCCACAAUCACCCAGAUUGCAUCAUGGCCACUCGAUGAACGAGGCAAGCCGACCAUGAAGUCCAUGGUCACAUCCUCCCAUUUCCAAGUGGGGAUAGGUAAACUCUAAAGCUUUCCCGCUGGAAAUCGGCGCUCUGCUUUGACCUGCUCGCAUACUAAGCACUACGCCACAUAGCGUCCAAUAUCGACUUUCAUUCCCGGCCAUCAAUAAUGCUGUUUCAGAUCUUGAUACAUCUUGGUGCCGCCCGGGUGGAUGCUAUAAGGCGACCAAUGCGCUUCCUUCAGAAUCAGCUUUCGAAUUUCUUCAUUGUCCGGUACACACCACCGGUUCCAAAACCGAAGCACACCCUCGGUGUCUACACUGAAAUCGCCGGCGCGUCCACUCUCGAUGUAGCGCCGUACCUUUUGGAGAGCUGGAUCUGCAGGUUGCAAUCCUUUAAUCCUCUCCAACAGGGUUGGUUGGACAACGAGAGUUGACAACAGAGCCGGAACCUCUGGAGCUACAACCUCGAGAACAAUCCGCCCCAUUUCCUUCCAUAGGGGCUCCUAAUUCAUGACCCACAUCGCGAGGUUCUCCGCCGACUUUCUACUAAGUGCAUCAACGACUACAUUCGCCUUCCCAGGGUGGUAGAGAAUAUCGAGAUCAUAAUCCUUGGGCAGCUCUAACCACCGCCGUUGUCGCAUGUUCAACUCCUUUUGCGUGAACAAAUACUUUAGACUCUUGUGGUCAGUAUACACUUCGCAACGCGCGCCAUACAAGUAAUGCCUCCUCAACUUGAGAGAAAAUACCACCGCGGCUAACUCCAAGUCAUGGACAGGAUAGUUCUUCUCACAGCUUUUCAACUGACGGGACGCAUACGCGAUCACCUUCCCGCCUUGCAUCAGAACACACCCCAAUCCUGAAUAGGACGCGUCACUGUAAACCACAAAGUCCUCAUCUGGCACCGGUAAAGCAAGCACCGGAGUCGAAGUCAACUUCUCCUUCAACUCGUUGAAACUCUAGUCGCAUUCCUCACUUCAAACAAACUUGGUGUCCUUCUGAGUCAAACGGGUAAGUGGAAUAACUAUUUUCGAGAAACCCUCCACGAACCAUCUAUAAUAGCCUGCCAAGCCCACGAAGCUUCGAACCUCCGUGACAUUAGUCGGGCGCGGCCAAUCUUUGAUCGCCUCCACUUUCCUCGGGUCAACAGAUAUACCACCCUCGGAAAUAACAUGCCCCAGAAAUGCGACCUCUCGGAGCCAAAAAUCGCACUUCUUUAACUUUGCAUACAACUUCUCCUCCCCGCAGGAUUUGAAGCACUAGCCUUAGAUGCUCGGCAUGCUCCUCGUCACUACGUGAAUAGACCAAAAUGUCGUCUAUAAAAACCACGACGAAUCGGUCCAAGUACUCCUUGAAGACACGGUUCAUUAAAUCCAUGAAUGCUGCCGGGGCGUUCGUGAGCCCAAACAGCAUGACCGUAACUUCAUAGUGCCCAUACCGCGUGCGGAACGCGGUCUUCUGAACAUCUUUCGGCUUUAUCUUCAGCUGGUGAUAACCGGACUGUAAGUCUAUCUUUGAGUACACACACGACCCCUGCAGUUGAUCAAACAAAUCAUCGAUUCAGGGCAGUAGGUACUUAUUCUUGAUCGUGACCUUGUUCAACUCGCGAUAAUCCACACAGAGUCAAAACGAUCCAUCUUUCUUCUGCACAAAUAAUAUCGGGGCUCCCCACGGUGACACACUCGGCCUGAUGAAUUCCUUGUCGAGGAGAUCUUGCAAUUGAGCCCUCAACUCCUUUAACUCAGCCGGCGCCACCCGAUACGGGGCCUUUGAGAUCGGCGCCGUUCCGGGGAUCAAGUCUAUCACAAACUCGAUCUUUCGAUUAGGCGGCAUCCCCGGUAACUCCGUAGGAAACACGUCCAGAAAUUCCCGAACCACCGACAACUCCUCGAGUACCGGAACUACUCGAUCCACUUCCACGACGGUCGCCAAAUAAGCCACGCAACCGCUGUUAACCAAUUUCCUCGCUCUCAUCGCAGACACCGUCGCGACGAAGCAUGAGCUCUUGCACGCUCGAUAUGUGAACUCCUCCUGUCCUGGCUCCCGAAACGUUACCACCUUAUGUCUACAAUCAAUAGACGCGUAGUAUUUCGAAAGCCAGUCCAUGCCCAGUAUAAUGUCGAAGUCUUUUAACCUCUUGAGCAUCAACAUCCGAAUUGGCAUGAUCCAGUCGCCUACUUGAACUGGACACGUCGGACAUUCCUUACAAAUAACGAACGCACCCCCGGGGCCCUCUACUCGCCAGGUGCUCUUACUUGCAUGAAUGCCAAUGUCAUGCAUUUGUGCAAAUGAUCUACUAAUGAAUGAAUGCGUGGCACUUGUAUCAAACAUAGCCCUGGAGCGAACUCCGUCAAUUAAAACCAUACCUGCCACGACGUGGCGCUCCUCGGCUUCAACAGACUAUUCGGCUUGAGCGGCGAAUACCCGUCCGCUCAGAGCCAAUCGCGUCAUCUCAAGCUGACGUAGCGCCAUCGCACGUCCAGCCGAUGCUGCUGCCGGUGGGGUUCCUCUAUAGUGGGCCGGAGUCGCUGGAGCCGAUGCAACGGACGGGGCAAGCAAGGCUCCUCCAGGACAGUCACAAAUAAAGUGUCCCUCUUGCCCACACUUGAAGCAUUUCCCCUGCCACUGAUUGCAACGCGACGCGGGGUGGUCUCCACCACAAAUGACACACCGCGGCGCUCCACGGCCUAUGGACUGCGAUCGCGGAUACUUCAGGGGCUUCUUGGAACUGGAUUGUCCCCCCGAACCACCGCCUUGACGCUUCUUUCCCUUGUCCUUUGACUCGGCCAUCACCUCACGCUCCUCUCGCACGUGGGCAUCACCGUGCUCCGCCCACAAUGCUCGGUCAAAUAUCUCGGCAAAGGUCGUGAGCUUGAACAGUUGCACGGCCCUAUAUGUCCCUGGCCGAAGCCCUCGCAAAAACCAAUCGGCUCGGUCCCGAUCAUCUCAAACAACAUCCGGGACACAAUCUAUGAUAUGGGAGAAUUCCUGUUCAUAGUCCGCUACUGAACGAUCCCCCUGUCUCAACUUACGAAACUUCUCCUGUAGUUUCCGUUUCACAGUGUCGGGGAAGUAAUUUGCGAACAUUGUUUUCUUAAACUCCUCCCAUAACAUCAGCGGAAGGUCGGAAGAUGGUCUCGCUUCACCCGCUUCCACCAUACCUUCGCCGCCUUCUCGAGGCAAUGGGUGGCGAGGUAUACUUUAUCCUUCUCCAAGGUGGAUAAGUCCUCAAAGAGCGUCUCCAUUGAGUCAACCCACGACUCCACCAUCGACGGCUCCACCUUCUCCCCCUCGAAAAUAGGUAGAUCGAACUUCCUGAACUUGAUAAGAGCCGCCAACGCAUGCUCCCGUACCACCUCCUCGGCCGCCGCAUCGAGUGUCGCCGAACCCCAGGCCGCCGGAUGAACACUCGCCGGCGGGGGACGUGCCGCCACCGGAACCGCCGCUAUGCCCUCACCCUCAGCCGCCUCAGGCACGCGUGCCGAGGGGGCGAGCGGAUCACGACCUUCAGUCGCCAUCGCGGUCGCUGCCGCAACCUGCUGCUCCAUAAGCUCUUGGAGCCGCUCGAACCGACUCUCUUGGCGCUGCACCACGCCAGCUAGCGCAGUCAUUUGCACCCGCAACUCUUGCACUUCGCGAGAUCCAGCUUGCGCGGGCACCUCAAAAGGCGGUGCCGGAACGGAUCUACGCGUGUAGCGCCUUCGGGACAUUAGCUCCUGAAACAUAACCAACUUGGUUAAUCACCUUAACCCUUAAAACCUCAUCGCACUUACAAAACAACGCGACUCGACAUCGCAAUUAGGCGGAAGCACACAAGUGUACUCAUUCUAGACUUUUAGUGUCAUGUUGUCGGCCGCAAACACAACCACUGCGAGUCGAGGACUCAUACCACUUGAAUCUGUUUCCAGUCAUUACUAGAAACAUAGUUCAAUCCUGACCCAAUCGAUCAACUCCCACCACAUCAUAGGCUCACGUCUCACUCACGCACCUAUAGCCUUAAGGUUUCCAUCCUAGGGCCUCCUAGGUCACUCCUAGACUUCUCUCUUUACUUGCUCUUACUUGCUGCUCUGAUACCACAAACACCUGUCACGCCCCGAGACCGCUACCCAUUUGGUCUGGUUCGGGCACGUCGAAGACGUCGAACGGACAGUACCUCCCCUAUCCGCCCAAGGCUCAAGCACGGGAUCACGUACAAGAAUUCCCCUAGGAACAAUUCAAUACAUACAUGAUACAUACAACGACAAUAGAAGCACCACAAGUGCAUAACAACAAGAGCAAGUAACACAAGUAUCUAUACAAGUGCAUAAAAAGAGAGUUCUAUCUAUUACAUCAUGAUUUGUACAUUUAUACAAUUUACAUUUUCGUUUCAUCCAAAAUGUAGAUACAGGUUCAUUCACAUCUCUCCAAAAUGCAUCUCACAACCUAUACAUCAUCUACUCUCAUAUGUGUAGGCACCUCUAAUGCAACUGGAGGGAUACUAAUGCUAGGGCACUAAGCCCUUACCGCGAUCCUCGCCCGGAGCGCUCGUACUCGGCCCUGCAAUAAAGUGGGACGAGAACUAUUGUCCAUAGUUCCUAGUGGGUUCGGCCGCCGACUCCGCCGAUCUCCCCACUAGGUCCAAGUGGGCACAAGCAGAUAGAUAGGUAGAUAGAUAUAUGAAAACAGUAACAACAUAGUAAGAAAGCUAUGCUACUGUGCCCGAAUCAUAUACAAUGUAUGCAUGCACAAUGUGACAAAUAAAGUAAUCAACUAACAUGCCACUAUAUCCAAGAAGUAAUAUUGUUUACUUGUUCAUCAAUUCUUCUGGCUUAUCCAAUCCUUGGCCAACCUGGAGGUUCGCCCACGACUCACAUGCAUCUCAUGGUAAGGAGACUCAACUCGCUCACAAACCCGAGACCGUAUGCGGGACCCCAUAAGGCUAUCCCUCAUGUGACAAAACUUCGGAGCGCACUUUUGUGAGGAGCGACCAACACAAGUUCUGAACAGACAGCGAGUAUGGUCCAACCUCUCAACUCGAGGAUACCCUAUCCACUAGGGCUAACAGACACUCGGGAACCCACCUAUCCCAAUGUCCAUAUGCAAGUGUUUAACUACACUAAGUUCUUAUUCAAUGACUCAUCACUAGGGAAUCCGCCUAUCCCUAAGUUCACAUGUCAAGUGUCAUUUUUACACUAAGUUAUAUGCCACUCGUUCUGUUGUCAUUGUUAUUUACAUGCCACUCGUUAUGUCUUAUCAACCAUCGAGUCCAUCUUUUAUCUCAGCACUAUAAGAUUCAAUGUCUCAACCCAAUCCUUAUCUAUCCACGAUAUCAAGCAUUCAACUCAUACUAUGAUAUUGUCUAGGAAAGCAUAAGGAAAAAGAAAAUGCACAUUUAUCCUACAAUGCAUAUAUGCAAGAAAUGCAAGAUUUAAAAGGCACUAAGAUAUAAAAAGGAGCCCGGUUGCUUCGGGAUGAAACCACCCACCUUCUGGCGUUGUCACAACUCUAGGAAUGAAGUUCGCCGAUUUUAUGAUGUAGUCUUGGCCUCCUAGGCGGAAACGAAACUCCGAAGACUCCUUUUUGCCCGUAACUUUGCACCCGCUAGACAAAUUGUCGAACCGUCUUCGCCUACGUGUUUAAACACCUAGCAAUUAGGUUAACACUUGAUCAAUUUAGAUCAAUACCGAACAAAUCACAAAACCUCAUUUUUGGAGCCCUAACUUGCAAUCAUGCAAGAAUCAAACUCUAAAUCCUCAAACUCAUGCAUAAAGCAUCUCUUUGGCAUGCUAGGGUUCUAUUUAAACCAAUUCUAGAGUAUAAAGUCCAAACCCUAGAAGUUCACCAUGAUUGAGCUUCAAGCUUACCUCCAAAAGCUAGCUCCAAGGUGUAGCGGAAGAAGAAGAAGAUGAAGAUCCCUCUCCUUACUUGCUUCUCCACCAAAUCCCUUCUCUUCUUCACCUUCUAGAGAGAGAGAGGAAGAGAGAUUAGAGAGAGAGAGAGGCUUUAGGUUUGUAUUUAGAGUUGAGAAAAUGAGAAAAGAGAGAGAGCAUACUCUUAUAUAGUCUCUACUUAUGCUACAAUUGCAUAAAAACCCCUCAACUUUGCCUUCAUGACACAGCCCAUCUUGGGCAAAUUGGGGCUGCGGGGACGGUCUCUCCCUGCCAAGGACCGGUCCCUCAGGACCUCCCCAAAUCUACGCGUUCGGGAAUCGGUCCCUCUGGCCCGAGGACCAGUUGCAUCACGCGUCGCCGCAACCACCAGCCGAUGGGACCGGUCUCUCCCUGCCAGGGACUGGUCCCUGAGAGCAAACCUGCGCAGGCCAUGUUCAGGAACCAGUCGCUCCCGCCAGGGAUCGGUCCCCGAGAGCAAAUCUGCCAAGUACAGGUUUUUCACAUCAUUUGCUCUCGCGGACUCCAUUCCAAUGCACUUUUGGCCAUUUUGAUGCUUUCGGCUUUUCUGAAGCACACUAAGUCAACAAUCAGUCGAUUCUAACCGAAGUCCAACUCUCGUAUUUUGAGAAUUUACUUCCUUACAAAGUUAUUAUAUAGAAUUGAGCUCCUAUGCUUUUAAAAGUAUCAAGUUUUUGGUGCUUGUAGAUUUUUAGCCAUUGGAUUACGAGAUAUGCGGUUAGGAUNGCUUAGAUUUUUGAUCAACCGUUGGUCGUUUCGUCGCUUGAGGCUUCGGUUGAACUUUACGUUCAGGUUUAGAAGUUCGAUUCUUUUAAAGUACCUGACUCACUUGAUUUCUCUUUUGAUUCCGCAGGGGAAGUCAAGUUGUAGAUGAUAUCACUUGAGGUUUAGACAUUGCUGAUUGUUUCUUCUUUUCUUUGUUUAGGCAAUUCCUUUUGAUGUGUCCUUUGAUGCCACAUUUAUGACAUACCUUCUCUUUCGAAAUUGUUCAGACUUUAGAAGUUGAUUUUGAAUCCUUCUCAACGUAUGUCCAUUCAUAACUAAGGCCCAUCUUGUUUGUUUGACCCAAUCCAAGCAUUUGAUCCAAUUUCUUAGAUCCCGAUGAAAACUUUUGAAUAUCGGUUUGGAGUUGACGAACUUGGUCAAUCAAGGCUUGAUUGGACUUGUGCGAUUCAUGAAAUUGAUGCUCCAAAAAUCCAAUCUUGUCGUUAGAAGAUUUGAUCGUUGAUUCCGCUUCAUUAAGCUUCUCUUGGAGGUCCGAAUUAUUUUUCAAAAUUGAUUCCCUUUCCUCCUCAAGAGCUUUGUUCGUGGUCUUCAAGUUGUUGUUUUCCUCUUCGAGAUUCAACAAACGACGCCUCAACUUCUUAUUAAGUUUAGCCAUCUUCUUUGAUUCAAUAAGAAGUUGAUUGUAUGCUUCCGCUAUGUCGUCGUCGUUUGAUUCCUCCUCGCUUUCGCCAUUGUCGCUCGAAGAAUCAUGCGAAGAAAGAGAAAUAUUGGAAUUAGUAGCAAUGGAGGAUAAACACACAACGUUAGACGAAGUCAAGGUAGAUUUAGCAAAUAAAGCAAGAUUUCCAUUCUUUUCUUCGUCACUUGAACUUGAAUCACUUGAAGUUGUAUCAUCCCACGUCUUUGCUUGCAAAGCCUUUUGCUUAUAAGCCUUCUUUGAAGGACAAUCCGUCGCGAUGUGGCCGUAGCCUUUGCACUUGUAGCAUCGGAUCUCGCCUUCAAAUUCUUCCUUUUCUUUUGAAGCCUUUGCACGCUUCUUCUCGUUAGAAGAUGAAGACUUAGGAAACGUUUGUUGCUUCGAAGAUGAAGGUUUAUUCGAUUUGCUCUUUCGGAAAUUCUGGCGAAACUUUUUCGUGAGAAGCACAAGUUGAUGUUCAAAUUCGGCAAGCGAUACAUCUUCAUCGGAUUCCGAAUCGUCUUCUUCUUUCUUUGUAGAUUUCAAUGCGACCCCUGUGCUUUUAGAAGAAGACUUGACAAAAGAUUGAUUAGUAGGAAAAGUCAUUUCAUAAGUUUGUAAUGCACCUACUAAUUCCUCGACUUUCAUCUCGUCCGGAUGUUUGACCGUUUCGAUCGCGGCUACUUUAGCCCGAAAACGUUCCGGAAGAGUUCGAAGAAUUUUACGAACAACUUUAGCAUCAGGGAUCUUCUCUCCCAAAUUAGCACAUGUGUUAAUAAUAUCUUGAAGUCUAGUAUAGUAAUCGGUGAAAAAUUCAUGCUCCUCCAUACGAAGAGAAUCAAAUUGACUAGUCAACAUUUGGAGCUUUUGAAUUUUUACUAAACUAGUACCUUCACGUGUAAUUUGUAGAGUGUCCCAAAUUUCCUUGGCGGUUUCACACGCCGAAACGCGAGUAAACUCCGUUUGUGACAAUGCAUUAAAUAAAGCGUUUAUGCCCUUGCCAUUAAACGAAGAUGACUCGUUUUCAUCUUUCGUCCACUUGGUCCGUGGUUUUGGCGUUUCAACAUUCUCGACCUUUUUAAUAGGAUGUUUCCAUCCAAAUUCAAUAGAUUGCCAAACACGCUCAUCGAUUGCAAUUAGAAAAGCUCUCAUGCGAACUUUCCAAUAGGCAUAGUUUGUGCCAUCGAAAAGCGGUAGUCGAUUAAUGUUUCCACCUUCGGCCAUUAGAUAAACAAUUUAUCUAGAUCCCGCUCUGAUACCAAUUGAAAGUUUUGAGGAGCCCAAGGAUCUAUCUAGAUUGUAUCUAUCACCUAGAGGGGGGUGAAUAGGUGUACCGGCCAAAAAACCACAAAUCUCGAUGCAAUAAAAAUAAAUGCGGAAAAUAAAAAGCACACCGAGAUUUACGUGGAAAAACUCCAACUUGGAGAAAAACCCACAGGACCAACACGCGAAAAAAAUAAUCCACUAAGAGCAAAGAUUACAAGGUGAUUACCGACUCCACGGACUCAACAUCUCUUAACCUCCUAUGGAUCUCGCGCAGUCCUCCGGGUUGUCCAUGCCCUCACGUCUGAAUCCACGAACGCCUUGCUCACGUCCGAAUCCACGAACGCCACUCGAAUCCACAAGCCCACGAUCCGAAUCCACGAACCGCCGUCAAACACGCCGAAUCCACGACGCCAUCAUGAAGAACAUCAUGUGUAUGGUGAUCCUUCGCUUAAAGUAUUGAUGAAAACCAGGAAAGAGAACUCCAAGCGAAGCGGAGAUCAAAUCGACAUAUUGAUAUGAAAAUCCAAUCUCUCGAUUUGAUCUAAAAGAGGCCGUUUGUAGAAAAUAGGUUUUAGAUGAAAUCCGAGCCUCUAGGGUUUCUCAAACAUGUAUUUUCGUGAUACUUGAUAUAUUAGAGAAGCCCAAUAGCUUAUUUAUAAGUGAAGUAGAAGAUGUCAUUAUUCCUAUAGACCAAGGCUGUAGAAAUAUGGAGACAAUGCUUGAGGAUUUAUUUGGGCAUGUAGCAAACUCCUCAAAUAUUAACACAAGUGAUAGAGAGUGUACUAAUCCUGAAGAUACUAUUCCUGAAGCGUAAAAUUAUUAUCGAUUGUUAGAAGAAUGUAGACAAGACAUAUAUCCGGGAUGCAAAUGAUAUUCAAAAUUAUCUUUUUUAGUACAUUUGUUGAAUCUCAAAUGUCUCAAUGGUUGGACUGAUAAGUCAGUUACAAUGUUGUUAGAGUUUUUGAUUGACUUGCUACCAAAUAAUGCAAAUAUUCCAAAAUCAUAUUACGAGGCAAGAAAGAUAAUUAAAGAUUUAGGAUUGGAUUAUGUGAAGAUUGAUGCUUGUAAGAACGACUGCGUGCUCUUUCGGAAGAAACUUGCAAAUAAUGAUACAUGCCCUACAUGUGGUGAGUCUAGGUGGAUCUCGAGCAGCAGAGAAGAAGAAGCAAACUCAAGAAAGCGAAAACAAAUUCCUCAUAAAGUUUUGCGUUUUUUUCCACUUACAUCGAGAUUACAAAGAUUGUACAUGAAUAAAGAGAUGGCCGGUAAUAUAAGGUGGCAUAUUGAUAGUCGACAAAACAAUGGAAUUUUACGGUAUCCUGCUGAUUCAUUGGCUUGGAAGCAUUUUUAUCAUAACCAUCCUGAGUUUGCAAUAGAGCCACGUAAUGUAAAAUUGGGAUUAGCAAGUGAUGGGUUUAACCCCUUUGGAAAUAUGAGCACCACACAUAGUUUUGGCCUAUUAUUCUAGUUCCAUACAAUCUACCCCCAUGGUUGUGCAUGAAAAAUGAUUAUUUCAUGAUAUCACUGCUAAUUCCUGGUCCAAAAGCUCCCAGUAAUGACAUUGAUGUAUAUCUGGAACCUUUAGUUGAUGAGUUGAAUGAUUUGUGGAAAGAAGGGGUUAGGACAUAUGAUGCAUCCAAAAAUGAAAACUUUACGAUGCGUGCUACUAUUUUUUGGACUAUAAAUGACUUUCCAGCAUAUGCCAAUUUCUCUGGUUGGAGCACGAAAGAAACUCUAGCAUGUCCUUGUUGCAACAAGGAUACCGUUUCGAUGAGAUUGAAGUACGGAAAAAAGUUUUGCUAUAUAGGUUAUCGUCGUUUUUUGUUGCAUGAUCAUAAAUGGCGAAACGAAAAAAAAUCAUUUGAUGGAACAAAAGAGAUUCGUCUUGCACCUAAGACUUUUUCCGGUCAUGAAGUGCUACAACAAUUGAGCCAAAUGAAGUAGGUAAUUUUUGGGAAGGUAAAUAAGAAAAGGAAACGCUCUCAACAGGAAAUAUGCCAUUUAAAUUGGUGAAAACAUAGCAUUUUCUUCAACUUGCUAUACUGGCAUACAAUGUUGAUACAACACAAUUUGGAUGUUAUGCAUGCAGAGAAGAAUAUUGGUGAUAAUCUAAUUGACACACUAAUGAAUAUAGAUGGAAAAUCCAAAGAUAAUCUAAAUGCACGAAAGAAUUUGAUGGCGAUGGGUUUAAGAAAGGAGCUUCACUUGAUACCAAUACAAGGGAAGGAGAUAGACACACAAACGUGUUCAAACAAUUGCUAACAGCAAAACAUAUAAAAUGCCUAGUGCUUUUAACACACUAUCGAAAGAUAAAAGACAAUCAUUUUGUCAAUUUCUAAUGGAUUUGAAGCUUCCAGAUGGAUUUUCGUCAAACAUUUCUAGAUGUGUCAAUAAACAUGAAGGUAAACUUCAAAACUUGAAGAGUCAUGACAUUUAUUGUUUAUACAUCGCCACCUCCCAUUAGGUAUUCGUGGAUUGUUAAGAAAGGAUAUUUCUAAUACCUUAAUUGAGUUUAGUGCCUACAUUAGAGAAUUAUGCUCAAAAUCAUUAAGAAUGAGUGAUUUGGACCGACUUGAAAACUCAAUUGCAUUGACUUUGUGCAAACUUGAGAGAAUAUUUCCUCCCACAUUCUUUGAUAUAAUGGUUCACCUAUCAAUUCAUCUUGCAACUGAGGCGAAAAUUGCUGGCCCGGUCCAAUAUAGAUGGAUGUACCCAUUUGAAAGGUAUAUUUUCUAUUCUUCAUAUAUAUAUAUAUAUAUAUAUAUAUUAUUUUAAAGAACAUGGUAUUAAUAUUAUAUUGAAUAGGUGUAAGCACUGAGAUUUUGGCAGUGUAGCUAAAUUCUCUGUUGACGAUAUUUUUGUGUGUAUUUUAAUUACAAAAUCACUCGUUAAGUUUCGGAAGAAAACGAGUUUGAAUGGAGAAGUUACGCGACUUUUACUUUCCACUUAAACUGAAUAGUAACUCGGUUUUUUCGGAGAGUCCACGGUGUAGAGAUGGCUUCCAGUGCGUAUAGGUCUCCAUUCAUAGUGAUCCAAUAGCUCGCUUUGAACGGUUCAACCUUUCUGGAACCAGUGGCGUUAUGCACGGAUUUCGAAAAAACUGGAAAUACGUAUAUUAUAUGUAUUUGUGUGUAGUUUUGCCUUUUGGGGAGAGGAUAGGUUUUGUCAUGAAUCCGUGACCAAACAAGGCAAAACAAAAUCGUGAGUUUGUUGUCUCUGUCGUGCUAAUCGCACUGGUGUGAUCCAUUCGCAAAUCUGACGGAGGAAUCUCCUAAUAUCGCGCAUUGAUCGAGGAGGGAUUUUAGAUGGCAAAAUGAUAGGAUUUUAUGUAAAUAUAGGAACUUUUAUGCAAUUGCGCACCUUAUGUGUCACGCCCCGGGACCCGGCAUAGGCCCGCCCGGUGCGCGCCCAGACCCGCCAUAUGUCUACACAUAUAAGGCGUCUACACAAAAGCGGAAGAGUAAAGCAUGAGAAGAUCUAUAACUAGAGAUAUCAGAGCAAGUAUAUAGCUAGGUUCUAACAUCAGGUAGAAUCAAAAGAAAAUCAUACUACUAAAGCAUAAAGUAAACUGAUACAUCGUAAAUCAGAAGAUACAAAAAUAGGGUGGUCUCUAUAACCAGGUACAAAACUCUCACAACCUCUCUAAAAGAAAACAAAAGAGAGGUGGGCCACCUAUCACCAAGUCCCUCGAUAGCUAACUCGAGGCGAAACCUUUCCCGCGAUCCCGAGCCUCUCCCGGAGUGGAAGGCUCUGAAAGGAAACAUAAAACAGGGGGCAUGAGAAUGUAUAAUUUAUAGUUCCCAGGGGCAAUUUUACUGACCUGCCACCAAACUGCAGCCACAUAGGCCAAAAGAGAGCAGAUAAAGUUAAUAGAAUUUUGAACUGCGGUUAAAUGAACAUACUAAUAAGAUGCCUACUUCUAGCUAUGCCAGGACGCUGCUCGGAAUGCAACAUGAACAGUACAUCUCUCUACCUGUUCGUAUUGCCUAGUACUUAAAAACAAUAAUGCUAUGAUGGCAGACGUCCUGUAAUACUAUUGAAGAUAUGAGUGAGGUGCCUAUUCAAAUACGACUACUAUCUAGUAGUGUACUUCCUGGCAACCAAGUACACUACCAUGCCUAAUGCUGUUCUCUCGAUACCGUCAAGUAUCCUAUGAAUCUCAAUGUACCGACCGAUCUGCCCGUAGCAUGUUACUGGAAUCCAAGCUUACUAUGAACCGUUUAUAGUCAUUAUCAACUUGUUGUUAUUAUAGAUUUUGGUUCAAAUUCUCAUUUCAGGAUUACACGGGUGUGUCCGGUCCUACCCCCUUGUGGCCUAAAAUGCCUCCUGUGGUGCAUUUUUUAGUCCACAACCAUAGUUCCGCCGUCGCCAUUGGAAUGUGCUCUGUCAUCUCGCCAGCAUCAGAACUCCCCGCUUUAGGCUUCUCAACUACCGCACGGGAGUGCGGAGAUAUGUCGCAGCAGGCUAACUCCGGCAGGGAGUGCGGCUUGUAGGGGACGACGUACAAGCAUGGUGGAAUGAGCACAAAUGCAAGCAGCAUGGUUCAAAACCUCAAGUACCGACAUCAUUCAUGUCUCUAACAUUUCUUCAACAGUCCACUACAACCAAAGGUCUUUUACAUAUGUCUCAAUUGAGGUUAAACCGUUUUCAAUGAAAUUUCCGCACCCUCCUCAAUGACCUUAGCUGUUGACUAAGUCUCCACAAAUCUCAAGGUGAUAACGCUUCCCACAUUCACUAUGUCUUAGUGCCUCUUCUAGUGACAUUUUAUAAACAUUCUGCCCCUACCUACUCCUCACCAUGUUCACUUAUAAGUCUACCUUUAUUGACAGUUAACUGCUUCGUCUAUCAAAUAAUAGAUUAAUACACAUGCUCUCGCUAGCCGUUUGUUCUCAUAUUGCCACUAUCUACUCACUGUCUCUCUCCACUGCACCUUAUCCACAUUUUGGACAGUAAGUUUCAUCACUAUAUAUAACAUGCCAAAUGCAAUUUACACUAUCCAUCAAGGCUCUGAAUUGCCACGCUUUAUGACAUUAGCUUGCUAAUUGUCCCUUCUCUAGUCCAAGCCUGAAUGCACCUUCCUUCGCACCUCUCGCGGCUUGUACAUUUGGUAUACGCUCUACCCUCAUCCACUUAGGUUGUCUAUUUACCAUCGCUCAAGUAUGCCGCUCUCUCGUCCAAGAGUGUAAUUCGAGGUGUGCCAUAAAACACCAUAUUGCCAACAUCGAUCUAAUCCAAUUUGUAAGUGUUCUAGACAUAGCCGCUCUAGCCGGCCGCCCCAACAUGAACUCCUCUACCAUAGUAUUUGAGGUCAAUAUGCAUGUACUGAUCCUCGCUCAUUUUUAACAUUCGUAUAAAUUCACAAUAAGAUGCAUUAUCGAACAUGAGAUAGUGCAUGCUUUAUUCAUUUUACAAUUACUUAAAAUCCAUCCAAACAAUGCAGAUCUUUCUCAUUAUUUGGCUAGCCAAAACCACCGAACGGUCGCGUGAGUCCUGGUUUCGCUCGAACGGAGCUGUCCACGAUUCAAAAUAACCCUAAAAGUACUAAUCGCCUCGCGAGGGAUACACGUCAAGGAUUAUGAACAAUGAAUCAGUGGUUAAACAUUGCCUCAAGGCAAAAGCGGCUAAAGAUUCACCUCAGUAGAAGAAAUCUCUUCCCAAGCUCCAAAUGGGAGCUUAGAUCCCUUUCCAAACCAACCUAGAUAAAGAUUCUAAUAAGAUCAAUGGGCUUCCAUGAAGGCCUCGUAAAGUCAAAAAUCCCCAAAUCAAAACCCUAAAUAUCCAUUUCUAGGGUUUGUAUAUCAAAAAUCAUGAGUAACCAACAGGGAAUUCAGUAAGCAACCAAACCUGGUCGCUCCAGAGAAGCUCCGAACCACCCUAGAAAAUUUAGUAGGCGUUUGAGCUCUCUACCUCUAACAAGCUCCAAAACGCCAAGCCAAGCUUCUCCAUGCGAGGAAAACGCCACCACAAUUAGAGCAGCAAACAGGAGAGUUUAAUCACCUCAAAACCCAACCAUAAAUCAAAGAAAGCAAAGACGGGAGAAAAGAGACCGCUCCCUGUACCUUGCUCUCCCGUGCUACCACGCCAGGAAGAAAGCCUAGGCUUUAUUUUACUAAUCCCCUCCCCUGGCUCCGGCAGAGCGUCGGGCUGCCGCGUUACGGGUAUCCACCUGUUUACGCGUACUCCGGUUACCUGGGCUUCCCUCGCCCACGUCCAGUCUCAUUUCAUGUUUCUCCCCUCCUAUUCACCGAUGCUCUCUCUGUCCUCUCCUGCCUCUCAUCUGCUUCCCACUCUGCGGCCUGGAACCGUCUUAGAGUCAGCCUUGGCCCUCUUGUUGCCCGAAUCGAACUCGGCGUUUGGGCGCCCAUCUCUUCCUACUCUCUUCUGCUUUGGUCAACAUCCCUUUCUGCACCUGGGCUUCCCCUCCUUCCGAUUUUUUUCAUGGUUUACUACCAUCAGCGCUCGUCCCCCUCUGUUCGCUUUGUCCACCCGACCGUUCCAAGGCCCCCGGGUUAUUCACGUUUUUCUUUCCCUCCUUCACCCCUCAUGAGAGCCCGGCCCACCCGGGUGCUGGUCCCAUCUAACCACGUGACCCACCCUCUCCCCCCUACGCAGCAGAGAACCUAAAAUUACCCAGUUCUUUGUCGCGCACUCUUAGUAAGGCAGCACUCCAAUUUGCAAAAAACGCCCUCGCUUCGCACGCUCUCACACUCCUCGCUCACCACUGCGUUCGUACCGGGCUGUACAUUAUUGUCCCGUUUUUACUCGCUCACGGUCCACACCUGCUCACCACGCUUCCCAGCCUGGCCUUUCGGGUUUGGCUGAGAGAGCGGCCAAAGUCGAUGGCCGUUGUACCGUACAGCCAUCAUCUCCACGUACGGCGUUACACAGCCCUCUUGAGGCAACCCAGACAGCUAACCAAAAAUCCCGAUUUUUCGGUCGUUUUCACGUGUUCGCUCCUCUAAACCUCGACUUCUCGUGAUUGCGCAGCCAUACGGCCGGAAAACACUGAUCACGGAGCCACCAGGAAAACAUCUGGAAUUUAGUCUCAGCAGCACAGCAUCGAAUACACGCUUCAACCUCGCAAUUGGCCAAAGGUCAGGACCGAUCUGUUACAUUCUCCCCUCCUAAAGCGAGUUCUCGCGGCCGAACUGCGGGUUACCACAUCGUAACCAUCCAGAGAGGAUAGAAACACCUCUAACAGCGUUAACAAGUGCAGUACCCAAACCGGUCUCAAACAAUGUCGGCAUUGCUCUACGGCAAACACUCAAUGAUCCAAGUGUCGCCAGGACUGCAUUAACUCAAGUCAAAAUUACACGAAGGUUUCACCUUAAUCCGUGUUUGAACACAAGUCCGUUCAGUUUUCCGGCGUUCACCCACUCGCACAAGUGUUUCCAAAAGUUGAAUUCGAAUCCUCACCUUUCUCGUCCAAGUCGAAGGGUAAAGCCGUUGCUCUGCUUUAAUUACCUCGUAGAAUGAUGCGAUUUUCAUCCAAUACUCAAGGGUAGAGUUCACGAAUGUCUGUCUCAAAGCACAGCGUCCGCGGGGUGGGUUAAAUUCCAUUACUCAUACUAUCAAAACUCACGAUCGGGACGUGCCUCAUGAGACUGAUAUCACUCACCAAGGAGAGGUGAUGCGACAUCCACUCAUCGGCUUAUAUUCCAUUGAUGAUCCUUCAAUCCAAGAUCAAGUCUUCUCUCGAGAUGGCACAACUGAGUGCAAUUCAAUCCAAGGUUAAGUAUGGCGUAUCCCUUUCGACUUGUUGCCGUUUGCAACGUCCAUCCAUCCGUUUAAUCUUGCUUGGCACGAACGGUUCUAACCUAACAUCCAAGGUAGCCAACCUUCCAAUAGUCACAGAACCGACAAAUUGUUCAACUCGCUCACCAAGGAGAUCACUUAAUUCCUCAAUCGGCACGGCACUACGAUGCCUCCACAUCAAUCUCAAACUCAUCACUCGGGAGUACCCUCAAAUCCUUUGCAAUACAUGGUCAGGGACUAAAGCUCAGAUUCUUCAUCAUCCCACUAAGAUCAUCAUCUUAGUCUCAAUUCAAGUCCAAGUAAACUCUUCGCAAGCCUAAGCCAAGGGCUUAGCUUCAAUAGAAUGUCUCAUACAUUAAUCAUUCAGUUGCCUCAGAAGAAUCAUUCAAAAUUCUCAUCCUCAAAACUUUCCUUAGCAUCGAAUGCUCCAGGUGUCCAUAGCCACUGAGCUCAACUCAAGUGAUAGAGAGGGCUCCAUCCACAGUACAAAUAUAACUCUCUAUCAACGUCACUAUGAGGUGACCAUCCGCCCAAGACGUCAACCCAAACGAUUCCUUCAAGCAGUUUCCAUUCUCAAGAUCUUGAUUCCUGGUGCUUAACCGGACAAGGAAAAUAGCAUCCGGGUAUUUUUCCUUUUCGAGUUUCCUACCACUCGGUCCAACAGUGAGGGUUUCACUCCUCGAUCACGUCAAUCUGCCUCUGCAGUCGAUUCUCGCAAAUCUUCAUCGAAAUACUCACGGCCAUCCGCGACCGGUUGCACAAAUCAAUCCAAAGGCUUGGAAUUGUCAUUCCACAAGUCCUUAACACUGGUGGAGUACCACAGGCUCAAGCAAUAUCACAAUAAUUCUCGUGAUGUUCCAACCCAGCAUCAACAUCCGUUUGAGGUACAGCCUCAAACUCCAAUACAAAGCGGUACUACUCAGAUUGCCUCACAAUCUUAUCGAGUACACCGACAACACAAGGCCAAUUGAAGGAUCAAUGAGCCUCAACGACUACCCAAACACUCAACCGUGGUUCAGUUUAGACCACGAUAGUCGACACACAGUCGAAACAACCUAUCCGGUCCCACAUCAAGUGAGGGUGCUUCUCCACGAAGCAAAACACCCAGUAUCAAAACCUCUCCGACAACUGGGCUCACGAUUCGUGACUGAGACGGGAAAACAACGACCACUCCCAAGACAUCCUCUAUUACGAGGAUUCUCAAUCAACAGAUACUAACGGCCAACUAGGCCCCAAGUCCUCCCAAAUUACCUGAUUUAGGUAAGGGGACAGUCAUCGCAAUCAACGGAACUAAAUCCUCAAAUCACACUAUUUCGGGCUCAAAAUCCUCAAGGCGAGUCAAGUUAGCUCGCAAUCCGAGGGUACCAGGUACCCACAACAACUCCACACCAAGGAAGGCCAAUCUAUUUGUUGGCACACAGAACCAUCUCACGGGGUAGGGCGUUCGAAACGACACACCCGAUCAACCGAUCAACCACACGCGCCAAAAGGCUCAACGCUAACAAAUCCUCGGGUUGGGUAACUACACACUCAGUGUGUCCUCGAUCUCACGAUCCAACACGUGGCUUCCCACGCUCCAGGGUCUAGGCUCGGACUACCAUCCUGACCAAACUCUGCCCUACUCGAAGGUACCGGGCCGCUGUCACACACAGCUGACUGUGCAUGCCCAAAGGGCCCAGGCUCUACAGUUCACAAUAGUCUAGGCACGGAUCGUCCCCAAGCACCAUCCGGCAAACAGCCGAUCAAGGGAUGCAAUUAAUGCAAUCAUCGUGAGAUCCAAAAGUAUAGCAAACACGCUACCCCCAAACUCGCAAUCAAUCGUCUAGCUCGAGAGGAGCUACCCAAUUUCGCAAACAACGAGCUAACGGGAUGCCAUGCAACUCGGCAAAUAGCCGAUCAGAGUAUGGAUGCAAUGCACCAACCAUAAACAAUGCACAACUCGAAUGCCACAAACGAAACUAAUACCUGUAGCCACAAACUCGGCUACUGCCGUCUCCUCAGUCUGGGCCGCAUACAUGUGCCCGAUCAGGACCUGUCGUGACCCCUCCGUCUGUCUCUGGACAGGUGGCCUCCCGGUGUGAAAGUAAGCAGAAGGCGUCCCCUGGCUGGAACCCGGUAAAGUUGGUGCUGAUGCUGAACCCCUCGGACAGUCUGACUGGAAGUGACCCUCCUGGCCACACGAGUAGCACCUGCCCUGCCUCUGUGAGCACUGCCGUGGGUAAUGACGACCACCGCAGAUCACGCAGCUCCGAGUCUGGCGACGCUCAGAUCCUCCGCGCUGUGCUGAUGGGUCACGUCGCACGACUGGCUCCAGUUCCUGGAAUGUCUCGGCGGUCUCCCAGAGUGCGUCUGACUCGCACCCUCAGCCGCGGGCCUCUUGCCUUUUCCUUUGUUCGAGCCUUCUCGACGCUCCUGCAAGUCUGCCGUGCAGCUUUCCACGAUGAGAGCGCGGUUCACCACAUCUUGGUAAGUCCGAAGGUUGGAAGGUUGCACCAACCGAAAGAUCGACGGCUGAAGUCCUCGUUCGAAGAUGCGAGCCUUAUCCUCAUCGUCCCGCACAGCAAAGGGCGCAUAGUGUAGAAGUCGAGAGAACUCCCUCUCGUACUCGGCCACAGUCCGAUCCCCCUAGCGCAUCUCGCGCAGAUCCUACUCCAUCUUCCUCUUCACGCGGACGAGGAAGUAAUGCUCUAAUAAGAGCUUCUUGAAUCUCUUCCAAGAAAUCGCUGCUAGGUCGGUGUUGGGAUUAUCCUAGAUGCCCACCCACGAACUAUAGGCCUCGCCAUCCAAGUGGUGAGUGGCGAGCCAAACUCUAUCUUUCUCCUCCACGAAGAUGUCGCGGAAUAACUUCUCCAUAUGCAUCAACCACUUCUCGACGAUCCAGUGGUCGACUUUCUUUCCAUCGAAGAUCCUGGGAUCGCACCUCCUGAACUCGUCGAGGCAAUCCAUGAGCCGCUGCCGCUCCGCUCUUUCAACCAUCAAGGGAAAAGUCGCCGCUGCCACAGGCAUCUGAGCUGGUGGUGCUGCCAAUACCUCCUCCCGAAGGGCUACCGUAAGUGUCGUCUGUGAAGUGUCGAGUACAGGGGACGACCCCCUGGGCGCAACUGUCUCCACUGGCGCGGGUAGUACCGAGACCUGAGCCUCCCCGGCAGCUGCCUGCUGUAGAAGAAGGUCCUCCAGGCGCUGCAUCCGUACCUCCUGCCGGCGUGCCGUGUCCACCAGCUGUCGAGUCGUCGCCGCCUGCUAUGUUACGAACUCAGCGAGGGCCGCAAG
rnacentral:lncRNA from 1 species